UUUCCCUUUUUGUUGUGAAUUUCCCCUUCUAGAAAUCACGAACAUGAGCACAAAUUUUUUUUGUCCAAAUAAUUGGUCCAUUCAGGCUGAUACCUCUAAUUUCUUUCUAUAUCAUGAAUAAAGCUUUGUAAGCUUGCUCAAUAUGGAGAUAGAGUUUGUACCUGUAUGAAGUUCAAGAUGGCCGGGAGCAAUCCGUGCCACCUGACCUCAACUUAAGUGCAUCGCCUUGUCAACAAUCAGUUCCUCCACAAGCGGAAUUGAUACACAAUUUACGCCUGAAUUGUCCUCUGCUCACCUUUCACUUGGGGACGUUUUUCCAUGAAUCUCUUCAGCUCCUCGAGCCACUUACCGAGGGCUCUUCCAAGUGAGGCCAUCUGUUUAUUAUUGUUUGCUUCUGGAAGUCGGUUUAUGGAGACCUUGAUGUUCAGCCUUUGAAUUUUGCCGUCCAUUAUGAGUCUUGUUGUCAUACUUUUUUUUUUAUCAGUCAUAAUCUACUCGUAUUCUAAUACUCACUCUUAGACUUUUGCCAUGUCUCUUUGCAGGACGUGAGAAUCAAAAUCCAUACUUGAAACUAAUUCGUCCCCACCCCAACCCCCUGAAAAUGUGGGGAUUCGAACCCCCCACCUCCUCUUUCCACGUUGGAAGGGUAGCUACUGGGUUGUUGUCGUAUUCUGAACACUUCAUUAUGUGAGGUUUUGACUGUUCUUGCCUUCCAUUCAUGGUGUAGCCGAGCAACAAAUGUCAAAUGAACAGGAAGAGACAGCUCCACAGUCUCCUGUCACAACGGUCUUUCUCAUUAGGAUGAUUCUCCAGUGAGCGUGACGAAUUAUGGGAACCUUUAGUUUCUCAAACUCGAUUCUUGAGAUGUUUCCGUGUCAUAUCGUUUACUUUUUCUCCAUCGUGUCGAACAUAGUACCUACUCUGGCGAUGAGCUUAACUAUUCAUCUCAAUCUGAAAGCUACAUACCAACUUGAUAAGAUUCUUAAUAUAAAUUACCUGCUUGUGCACACUAUUUUACUUGGUGAAUUCUGUCAUCUGCACUAGUUUAAAUACAUUCAUCGUUUGAUAGCACAGGUACCUUUGUCGGCUUACGGCACGAGGCAUGGCAAAACUUUAUUUGCCUCGUCAAGUCUUGUUUCAGAGGACAUGAAUAUUCUUUUGAUAGUAAUUGUAUGUUUAGAUGAUCAUAAUUGCUACCAUUGGUAGAACACGCUGCCGAUGACAACAUGAUAGUCGCAGUGUGCAUUCUAGUCGAGCAACGUAGUUUCAACUUCGAGUUGUGAUGAAAACUGUGCUUGCGCCUGUGGUUUAAGAUGAUGAUGAGUAGAGCUGAAUCUGACAAGCCACCUGCUAUUCCUAUCGGCUUUGUCGAAUCAGGAGAGGUGGCAGGGUUCGCUCCACAUCUCGUAACCGACGGUAAUCUUGCUGUCCUUCAAUGAAGGCAUAGAGAAUGAGAAUAAAUGCUCCAUUAGACGCUGCACAUAUGCCAAUUUCGCUAGUUCUGAACCUCAUUGCAGGUGGUCCCCAGGCUGCAAACUUCAGGGGACCUUUCCAACUGUCGACUUUUGAUGGCUCGAAGCUUGAGCUACUUGGAUUCAAACCCUGUCUUUACUUUCUCUGAAGGCAUUCAUGAUAUUUAACGCUAUUUAGCUCUGUUGGGAAUAGCGGAUCCCCGAAAACCGGAUUCGACACCGAAUCGAACCCCUAAAUCAAUGCGGAAGACGAAGCCCGGGAAAACACGUAUUACCGAUCGUAAAGCACACCACGGAUUCGAGCGUACCUUGUUAGCCACAAAUUAAGCACCGACGCCAACAAGAGGAAGAAAAUCUGGCCCCGUUCAAUCUAAUGACGCCUUGAAGGAAAGAAGAAAAGUGCCGUUUGCUUACUGUUUCUUUUUGGAAGGGAGAGAGCGCGCGGGAGAAGAGAAGACGUACGUUCGUCUGUUUUUCCAACCGGUACCAUCUCUCUCUCUCUCUCCUCCCUUUUAUACCUUCCCCCAUCCACGGGCCCUAUUCCCGUGGGCCGGGCUUUUUGGGCCCAGCAUGGGCGGACGGGCCUUAAGCCCAUCUCAUAAAUCUAUCAUCUCCCACUCGCACAUGGUGGGCCGAACGGAAUUCUCUUUACCUCUCUUCAACAUUCAUACUGGUGAAUAAUCCGUGCGACCAACAUACUUUGAGAGCUCGUUGCUAUACAUCUGUUAGGAAUAUAUAGCAGCUCAUAAUGGUCGUCACACUCCGAGUAGAUUUAGUAUGCAGUACCCUAGAUCGAUCGAUCACAUUUAUAUCUCUCUUGAUCUCUUUUAAACAAUGAUAUAUAUAUUGUAUUCACAAUUAUGAUUAUCCCAAAGACAGUCAUAAUUGGUUAACCGGUGAAUACAAAACUACAAUGUGAUUCUCCAAAAUCGAUCUUCCUCUUUCCUUCAAACUUUCAAUUUCAGUUCAGCUUGCUUUUCUAGAAAUGCCCCAUUAGAUCGAAUCAAACUCAUGACCAUUGGCAACAUCCUAAGAUAGCAAAUACUAAAUAGAAAUCUUGAGAAUAAGUAAGAGUCAUGAGGGGACUAAAAAUUGAGGAACUCUUUUCCUCAAGAGUCUCACACGACAUAAAAGUUGAGAUCAAACUUUUGCCACUCUUAUUGGUCGUUACGUAUUACGGUAUUAACUCAUUUCCCAUGGAGCGUAUGUCUACACCUUUCAAUACCGUACAGAUGAUAGUUCAGACAUAUCUAAUGUCUAACUUGAGUUCACGUAUCUACUCAUUCACAAAAUUCAUCAGAACUCACAUCUGGCAUCUUAGACAGAUAAAGUAAAAUAUGUGGGGUAUUUUACUUUCGGACAUAGUAAUUAUUAUAUUCUCAUCUUAACACCUAGUUAAGGCGACAUACGUGUUUUAAGCUUGAGCUCUCGAUUAUCACCUAGAUAAUAAGCUUAAAAACAGUCUCAUCUCUAUUUAUCACACAGUAAAUAGAGGCGAUUACCCGUGUGAGUGGGCUAAUCUUAUAUCUGUCCGACAUACUUCUCAACUUAAAGUGAUGCACUAAGUAUUAAGAUGCAUAAAGAUCAAACAAAGAUUCAUAGGCAUUAAUGAUGAAAACACAAAUUCAUCAAAUUGUGAACACUUAGGGAAAUUACAAUAUUUAGUACAUCAGUCUCUACGCAAUCCUAGAGACUUCAUAUGACCACAAAACACAUCUCUAGGUAUUGGUUUUAUCAUAAGAUCUGCUACCAUUCUAUGCGUAGUAUGUACUCUAAGUUCACAUCUUUUCGUGCAAUCAUAUCAUUGACAAAAGUUAUACUUGGUAUCUAUAGGUUUGGUCUUGCCAUGAUAUUUGGAUCUUUGGUGUACACUUUUGCUGCUCGGCUAUUAUAGUUAACCAACAAUGCAGCAUUUCCAAUAACACCUAAAUGAUCCAAAAAAUCUCUUAAGCCAAAUACCUUCUUACACUGCUGCUGAUAAUGCCACGAACUCAACUUACAUCGUGGACAAGGCUAUACACUUUUGUUUUUUACUGCUCCAACAUAUGGUGCCAUUAUUCGGUAAGAAAACAAAUCCAUAGGUAGAUUUCCUUUCAUUUAAAUCUCCUCCCCAAACAGCAUCAAAAUAGCCUUAGAGUCGCAGAUCCAUUCCUUAAUAACUCAACGUAUUAUCAGCAGUCCCUUUUAGUUACCUCAGUAUUCUCUUAACGGCUUUCCAUUGUGCUGGACCUGGAUUGGAUUGGUAUCUACUUACCAUUCCAACUGCAAAACAUAUGACAGGUCUUGUACACAUCAUAGAGUACAUCAAGCUUCCAACAGCACUAGCACAAGGAACAUGUCUCAUUUGUUCAUUCUUUUGUGAAGUCCUUGGACACAGUUUAUGGCUCAAUCCUUCACCUUUUGCAAUAGGAGUGUCUAUGGGUUUACAAUCUUGAAAUCUUAACUCUAAGAAUGUAUAUAACAUCACCCAUGUCUUUCAUCUCAAAGUUGGAAGACAACCAACUCUUGAUAGUAUUGACAAGCUCCAUAUUGUUUCUGGUAAUUAGUAUAUCAUCAACAUAUAAUGAUAUGAUCACCAAUUGAUCUUUGGAUCUUUUGAUAUAUACACAAUGAUCCUCAUCAAUCAUUAUAAAAUCAUAUGCCAUUUUGGCAUUAUGAAAACGUAUAUACCAUUGUCUCGAUGACUGCUUAUGGCCAUUUAUCGACCUCAAAAAUCGAUAUACAUUUUCUUCUUGGCUUUUCAUUAUGAAACCAGCAGGUUGUUCCAUAUAUUUCUUUCUCUAAUUCUCCAUUGAGGAAAGCAGUCUUUACAUCCAUUUGAUGUAACUCAAGAUCCAUACUUGCCAUUAUUGCCAGAAUAAUGCGAAUCAAGGUAAAUCUCACUACAGGAGAAAAUGUAUCUUCAUAAUCAAUUUCUUCCUGUUGAUUAUACCCCUUCGCCACAAGGCGAGCCUUAUGCCUUUUUAUCGAGCCAUCAGCCUUUCGAUUUAUUUUGAAAACCCACUUGUUCCCAAUAGCUUUGUGUCCUUUUGGAAGAUCAACCAGUUCCCAGACUUGGUUUGAUUUCAUUGACUCCAUUUCCUCUUUCAUUGCAUGAAUCCAUUUUUCCUUAUUAGGGCAAUUCAGAGCCUCAUUAAUAUUUCUUGACUCAUCCUCAUCUUGUGGAGCAAUAAUAAAAGUUUCCCUUUCAAUGUCAAAACAUCGACGGGGAAUACUUUGGCGACUUGUUCACCGUAUGGGAGAUUGUACACUUAGCACAUCAUUCCCCAUUAUGCUCCCACUUGGAUUAGGUAAUGAUGAUGUCGUCACAUCAGGUGAUUGCAAUUGAGAAUGAGUUGAAUUCAAUUCAUCACAUCUCAUAUUACUCCCACUUGGACGAACUCCACUAACAUCAUUAUCUUGAUCCAAGGUUUCAAAUAUGGAGUAAUUUUCCCUAUUUCGCCCCUCUUAGGAAAUUCAUCCACUAAGGAUGUGACAUCCCGUGAUUCAAAUUCAGUUAUACUCUCACUUUCCUGCUCACCUAUGAACACAUACCAUUUUGAGUAUUCGCAGUAUCUCAUGAAAAUACUCUUAUUUUUUUUGGGACCCAAUUUCCCAAACUUGUGAGAGGACUCAUGAAUAUAGGCAGCAUAACCCCAUGGCUUAAGAAAACUUAAGUCCGGUUUUCUAACUGUCCAUAACUCAUAUGAAGUGGAAAUAACUGAUUAGGAAGGCAUCCGAUUAAGUAUAUUGGCAGCAGUUAACUACGCAUCACUCCAAAAAGUGAUAGGUAAGUUAGCAUGCACCAUCUUGGACCUAACCAUUCCAGUAGGGUUCUGUUUCUUCUCUCUGCAACACCAUUUUGUUGAGGAGUAUAUGGAAUAGACAACUAUCUUUCUAUUCCUUUUUCAUCACAUAAUUUUCUGAACUUAUCAGAUAAAUAUUCUCAACAUCGAUCGGAUCUAAAUACCUUUAUUUUAUUGUUUAAUUGAUUUUCUGCCAGGUUCAUAAACCUUCUAAAACAACUUAUGCUUCAGAUUUAUGAGAAAUCAAAUAGACAUAUCCGACUCGAGUAUAAUCAUCUAUAAAAAAAAGUGAUGAAAUAAACAGCCCAUUGCCUUCCUCUCACAUUCAUUGAACCACAGACGUCCAAAUGGAUUAAAUGUAGAGGAAAUUCAGCUCUUUUACCUUUUCCAAAUGGUUUUCUUGUCAUUUUCCCUACUAGGCAAUGCUCACAUAUGGACAAAUCGACUUUUUCAAUAUUGCCCAACAAGCCCUCUUUGGCUAGUCUAUUAAUAUGUUGUUGGCCCAUAUGACCAAGUCUAGCAUGCCACCAUAUUCACAUCAUUAUCAUAUAAGGUAGAAGACGUGAAACAAGGGAAUAACAUAUUGACAUCACCAUAGUCAACAUUUAGUACAAUAAAACCAUCCAGAAAAUGACCACAACCAUAGUAGUUUGUAUCCAAAUACAAAUCUAUACAUUUAUUAUGGAAGUUCAUAUAAAAACCAAGCUUGACCAACACGAAAACAGACACUAAAUUUCGACGAAUCUCCGGAGCAUAUAGAACAUCAUGUAGGAACAAGGUGCGUCCACCACGCAUGUUUAAUUGGCAAGUCCUAAUCCCUUUAACUUCAUCUCUAAAGUUAUAUCCCACAUAGAUCCACUUAGUUCCAGUUGGUAUCGUCGGAAUUCCAUGAAGGAUCCUUUAUCCUUCGCUACACGAUCUGUCAUUUCUGAAUCUACAGUCCACAAAGGAUUGGAUUUAGCCAACAAUACAGAACUUGACACAUAGGCAAAGUUCUCAAAUGUACAAGAGGUGUUUACCUUUUUCGGCUCACAACAGUUGCGAGCAUAGUGACCUCUCUUGUCACAAUUGUAACAUCUCACCCUUGACAUUUUUCUUCACUUGAGGACGUUUUCCUCUCUUGUGUUGGUUAACUCUUGAUUUCUUGCAACAAGGACUUGAUCUUUUGCCAUCCCACAUAUUGAACAAAUCAAUACGCUUGCACUUAGAGCUCAAAGCCCUUUCUGAGCUAGAACCAGCAUUGCAAGUGUCCGUUUUCGGCUCACAUGCCGUCAAGCGAUCCUCUACCAGCUCAAGGUGGCGCACAGCAUCAUCAAGAUCUUCCAUAACAUGGUCAAGAGCUUCUAGUGCUUCUAACUUUUCCAGCACAUAUUGAAUCUUAGUACUCAAUAUUCCACAAUUGUUGCCGUUCAUAUCAGCAAUUACGUUCUUAGUUGCUGAAACUAUCGAUCUGAACACAUCAGACUUAUAUGCACAAAUAAUUAAUGCCUAUCAUUAUGCAUCCCUAUUUGCAUAGACCCAUCAUANNNNNNNNNNNNNNNNNNNNNNNNNNNNNNNNNNNNNNNNNNNNNNNNNNNNNNNNNNNNNNNNNNNNNNNNNNNNNNNNNNNNNNNNNNNNNNNNNNNNNNNNNNNNNNNNNNNNNNNNNNNNNNNNNNNNNNNNNNNNNNNNNNNNNNNNNNNNNNNNNNNNNNNNNNNNNNNNNNNNNNNNNNNNNNNNNNNNNNNNNACAUCCAAUAAAAUAACAAUGCUUUCACAUGAUACAACUAAUAUAUCGAUUGCUACAUCAACAACAAUCAAGUAGUAAACAUUACAUAAUUAAUCAAAGAAAUAAAUAAGGAAUGUCCCUUAUAAUCUAUCAGCCAUAAUAUCUGAGAAAUUUGAAGGCACAUUUGCCAACCAUGGAAAAACUUUUGGAGAGCUUUCAUGUCGCCACCAAGGCGCAUUCACUCUACGGCCAUGUGGCGCUCAACCUAAGGGUUGAAGUUUUGGUUAACUCAAUCCUAUAGUGCUCUCUUACAAAAGCUUCCAACCAGCCUCCUAUAACUCAGGACCACGUUGAACCUCCCAUAGCCGAUCUAACACUGCUUACCAUUCAGGUGGAAGAGUGUUCAUCAAAGCCGGUACAUUCUCAAAAUCCGGCAUAAGAUAACCAUUAUUGAUGAUUUCUUGUAUCAUCUGAUUGACCCUGACCGCAUGUGAUACUAAAUCACCAUCAUGCCACCGAUAAUUAGCUAAUUCUGACAAUCUCCUUUUAAGUCUUGCAUUUCCCUCGUCCGUUCUCGGGAUUGCAGGUAUCCUUGCAUAACGCAUCAUAGUUCCUGCAACAAAUGCAGAACUAAAAAUGGAUCACUUAUAAUCCAUAAUAAAUAUAAGGGAAAAUACAUAAUUUUCCAAAAUUCAUGCAAAAAAUGAAGCAUUAAAAAUAGAUUACUUAUAACCCACAUAGGCAUGACUGAAAAAGAAACAAAAUUUUUUUUUUUUUUUUCGGGUCAACGGUCAACGGUCAGUCAACGGUCAACAGUCAAGGUCAAUGGCCAGUCAACGGUCAACGGUGGUCGGUCGUCGGAUCGGUCGAACCGGACAGACCGGUCGGACCAAUCGCGCCGGUCGGGCCGGUUCGGGCGAAACGACCGCACGUGCCGCCCGCGUGCGCGAGCUGACGUCAUGCAGACGUCAGCCGGCACGAGCCGCGCGCGUGCCGAGGGUCGCGGUUCGGGUCGGGUCGCCGGCCGGCCAACGGUCGUCGGCGAUGACGUCACCGAUGACGUCAUCCCGGCGGUUACCGUGACGUCAGCACGCGUCUGUUCGCCGACCGGCGCGUGCCCGUUCGCCACCGGCGCGUGUGUCGCAUGCGCUGGCGAAGCCAGCACUUCCAGGCGCUUCGCGCCCACGCGCAGCGGCUUCUGGCCGUGCGUGUGGGCGCGUGCGGCGUCUCCCGGCGGCGCUCGACGUGUCGCCGGACUCGUCUCGACGUCGCCUUUCUCCCCAUGUGUUCAGAAAACGAUUUCGACUUACGAAAACUCAGAAAAAUGGCCGAACAACGCUCGGGUGUCGGGAUUUCUCGCCCCGAUCCGUACGGCCGAAAAUUUUUCGUGAAAAAUCAAUCAAAAAACAUCAAAUUAAUCGGGAAAACGUGAACUAGGGCUCUGAUACCAAUGUUGGGAAUAGCGGAUCCCUGAAACCGGAUUCGACACCGAAUCGAACACCUAAAUCAAUGCGGAAGACGAAGCCCGGGAAAACACGUAUCACCGAUCGUAAAGCACACCACGGAUUCGAGCGUACCUUGUUAGCCACAGAUUAAGCACCGACGCCGACAAGAGGAAGAAAAUCUGGCCCCGUUCAAUCCGAUGACGCCUUGAAGGAAAGAAGAAAAGUGCCGUUUGCUUACUGUUUCUUUUUGGAAGGGAGAGAGCACGCGGGAGAAGAGAAGACGUACGUUUGUCUGUUUUUCCAACUGGUGCCAUCUCUCUCUCUCUCUCUCCUCCCUUUUAUACCUUCCCCCAUCCAUGGGCCCUAUUCCCGUGGGCCGGGCUUUUUGGGCCUAGCAUGGGCGGACGGGCCUUAAGCCCAUCUCAUAAAUCUAUCAAGCUCGAUAUUCAGCAUCGUCGCCCUUACUUGUUUUGGACUUUCUACUGGCGAAUCUCUUCAUGUAAAGGUUUGGCUUGGCAUUAUACUAGUCAGCAUACUUGCAUAGACAUGGUGGUUCUGUUCGUUUCCUCAUCAGUGCAUUCGACUUGUGGUGCAUCAAAUCUGAAAAUGAAAUAUUCCAGUAUCUAUAUUUAAUUAUUCGGAAGUUUGUUUUAAUAAGCUAGUACUAUGCUAUCAAUCAAUUAUCACUCAGUACAUCUCUUUAUACAUAUAGACACGGUUUGCCAUUUCCAGAGUUGUUAUCUUUCGGGAGUGGUCUCGAACGAUUUCGUAUUCUCCAAACCGAGACUCAUUCAGUCAUUGAAAGCCUUCAAUUUUUGACCUUGUACUAGGAUGGUCCUUUCUGCUGAUUAUUGUAGAUCCUUUGAAAACCAUUGAAGCAAUCGAAAAGACCUCGCAGAAAAUGUUAAUUGCUUUGUACUGGCGAGACGACCCAAGUUUUAAGCAGCAGCAUGCGCUUUCGCUGCUUUCUAUGUUUUCUUAGUCUGAUGAAUGACAUUAUUUGAAUCUCAGUGGGGGAGUACCUCGCUAAUUUUGGCAUCAAAUCAGGGCUCUCUGUCUGCGAUCUCUAAGUGAAGUGGAUAUCGCGGGUUCCUUAUCAACAUCAAUGUCUGGAGGAAUAUGAUACUUGUUUGCAAGCACGUGAGGUACCAUCUCAUGUCUUAUCAUCGAGUGAACGCAUAAAUUCUCACUGCAUUUAGGGAUUGAGCUUUUGUAAUACAUCACAUGCUCUAAAACGACACUACCUGCUCAAUUUCCAUUCAUCGUAAAGGCAAAUUUGUCGGCCUACUCUAUCUUUCGUCUUUGACAUGUGCCAGUCAUUCAUCGGUUAGGCCCUAACCCAUCCCGUGACAUGAGGUCAAAGUCGGAGAUUGCUUGAGCAUGUAGCAGUUGUAGAGGUGGGUGAUCGAGCGGGGUCGAAGGGUGGGGGUGAGAGGUUUUGAUGGAAACGAGAGAGAUUCACAUGAAACAAAAAUUAAAUGAAUGCCAUAGAACAUUCAUUGUCAUUUAUAAAAUAUGAACAUAAUGAGUCUAUCGGAAACACUAGUGCUAUAUGAAAAACAUGUAAAAGCUUCACGGAUUACAUUGCGAAUAAUGAUACAUGUUGAUAGUACUAUUUAAAUUUUGCACCUCAUUUCUAUGAUAGGGGAACAAUCACACAAUACAUGAUUUCGUAAACUCAUUGUCAUGGUAAAAUUGGUAACCGCCCGAAAUUAUCGAAGCACUUGACGAAGCUGAGACCGUUUCAAGUUCUAUAUCAGUGUUGACAUCAUCAAUUGGCGCCUCUCUUGGAUACAAAAGUGGUUUUGGAGGCAGCUGUAGUUUAGCCAUAUCUCCCUCAAGCAUAUCUAGGACUUUCCUCAUCGACGGCCGAUCAUUAGGACUCAAUUGUAUACACCAUGAUGCAACGAUUAUCAUCUUCCUCGUUGUUUCUCUUUCCUCUUCUAUGACAUCUACCAUUUCAACCUCCUUUUCUUUGCCAAGUUGAUCAUAAACCCACAAAGGAAAGUAAAUUUGACUUGAACGCUCUGCACGUGCAUUUAGAUUUCUCCUUCUACCAGCCAUUUCCAUCAACAUCAUCCCAAAACUAUAAACAUCGGCUUUAUAAGAAAUGCCACCAAUGUCUUUAUAGAAUAGCUCAGGUGCCAUAUAACCCAAGGUUCCUCUUGCUGCAGUCAAUGAUACUAUGCUGUGACUGGUGGGAUAAAGUCUUGCAAGUCCAAAGUCAGAAAUUUUCGGAGUGAAACUUUGGUCUAGGAGAAUGUUGUGUGGCUUGAUAUCAAAGUGCAGAAUUUGCAUAUCACAUCCCUAAUGUAGAUAUUCUAUCCCUCUAGCUAUGCCAAGAGAGUUCUCAUACAUUUUCUUAUGAUCAAGAGGAUCAUCACCAUCCUUAUUCGAAAUGUGUUUAUCCAGGGAGCCAUUUGGCAUGAAAUCAUAGACUAGAGCUUGUUUGGAGUAAUCGAAGCAAAAACCAACAAGUUGCACCACAUUGACAUGGUGAAUCCUUCCAAUUGUGGCCACUUCGCUAAUAAAAUCUUGGCUGUUAGAUUCUGAUUUGUUCAAAAUCUUAACCGCAACUUCAUUGCCACUUCGAAGGAUUCCUCUGCAGACAGAACCAUAUCCCCCCUCACCUAACUUGUAUUUGAAAUUUUUUGUAAUCUUCUUAAUAUCGGAGUAAGAGUACCUUAUGGGUAAAAAGUUAUUGUGAGCUUGUAGGAAUUCUUCGAUGAUUGCGUCAAUCGCUUGGCGCCUUCUCAUCCACUUAUAGAUUAGAAGUAUCAACACACAUAGAACUCCGAGUACGAAUUUUGCUGCAACAUAGUUGGCUGGAUAGAAAUUGUCCAUAGAUUAGCACGGUGCAAUAAAAAAAAAUUAAACGUAAUUUUUUUUUUAUCAGAGUGCUGCUUGAGAUCUUCAUAGUUGUGAGGAGAAAAGGGCUAGGAAGUCAUACCCAAGACGAGGGCAAGGCUCCGACCCACAUAUGGCGCAUAAUAAUGCCUAGCCCACGUAGCAUAAUCUAAGGUGACCGAAAAUGACUAAUUAGAAUCGACAAUCAAUCAAUGAAGAAUUAAAUCUAUCAUUUUAGCAUUUAAACAUAAAAAUAAUUUACUAUCCUAAAUAGGUGCUCAUAUCGCAGCUUAUUCUAUUCACAUGGGAAAUCCAUGUUACGGUAGCAUGAUAUUUUCUCUAAAAAAAUAAAAUAAAGAACACGAUCUCGCUUUUGUUCCCUCAAGACGUACCAAACAAUUAAUAAGUUCACAUCUCACUGCAGCAUAAUUCUAAUUUACAAACAUCAUUCAGGACGCGUGCAAUUUAUUCAUCUACAUAGGAGUAACAGCCACGCAAUGGACACGAGCAACUAUUAAAUCAACCAUUUUCCCCAAACAAAUAUAAAGUAAUAGUGUCAAAUCCAGAAAAAAAGGUUCAUAAAUUGUAAAAUUAAAAAGAGCAAUGCAUGCCUAAUCUACUAAGAAAUCUUAUUAGACUUUUCAAAUUAAGUGAUGUGGCAAUUUUUUUUUUUUCUGUUGUGUUUUUAGAGAAAAUAGUGUCUUAAUUUGUGGAUUGUAUUAAAAAUCCCCAACUAAAACUUGCCACAUCUCUUGGUAAGUAAAUUUUGGUAAGAUCUCUUAGUAAAGCUAGGAUUUAAGAAAAGGAAGAAGAAGAAGAAGAAGAAAAAAGAAAGAAAGAAAGAAAGAAAGAACACCUUUAAGGGGAAGUCCCUUGAGGAAAUAAAGGUCCCCGCAACUCUCCAUUCGGUAUCCGAAACUUAAGUAGCGACACCGAAAAGCUCUUCCUGACAUGGUCCAGGGUUCUCCAGAAUAGUAGAGAUUGAAUCCCUCGGCCAUCUUGUUGUGGAGGUCCUUGUAUGUUAAGCUCCCAUUCUGAUCCCCUUCCCGCCCCGAGAUUUGAUCUGAUGCGUAUGCCGUCAUGGUUACGGUGCAGGAGUCCUUGAAAUCCCCUGCUUUUAAGUUCUGUACAGCGUAUGAGUACACCUUCAUCUAGGAAAAAUAAGGAGGCGUGUCGGCAGAGUAUCCCUCAAUACAUGGUCUGGUAUCGACAUAUAAACUAGAAGCAAUGGGUUGGGAACACUUCAUGAAGGCCACCACCGUAGCUUAUCGAUCAGCGUAUCUAUCAUCAUGACUGAAGUUGGAGUAUGUCAAUGGGUAACGAGGGAGGGACUAGCAAUUACCCUUUUGCAGUCCAUUGUCAACCACCGUGAUAUUACCAUCAAAGUCAUGUUGGUUGUAAUAGAAACUAUAAUGGAUCAACUUCGCAUUAUAUUGGCCAGCAUAUAGAUAUAGAAUAGUGUCGCGACCAAUUUUUCAGGGUGUGAAUCACCUAGGAUUUAGCUAAUAGAUUGCUAAGCCUAGACCUAGCUCGGGCUCUCCCAAGCCCAUACCAAUUCGCGACUUAAGUUCAAAUUUCUUAACAUGCAGAUGGAUUUUAUGUAGGAGUCGCCACUAAUCUAUUUUUUGGUGGGUCAAUUAGAAACCCAAGUAAAAUAACGGGAGUUUUACUUUACUCCUAUGAACCAGAUAUUCUAGGUACGGGGACUUAUUACACUAGAUUUUUCUAAUGCCCUUUCGAUACCAUUCUUUUAUUUUCAAAAAUGCUUUUGCAAGCAGCUUAAAUUGAUUUUAAAUCUAAUUUCCUAACAUGUGAGGUGAUCAUGCGAGUGCGCAAACCAUCAAUUUAACAUCCAAAUAAAGCAGUAAAUAAAUUGCAGGACUUACCUCAUAGCAACGAAAGCAUCUGCGUUGUUAGAUCAAAAUUCACAUCAACAGUCAUAGAUAUGAUUUCUAAUUAACACGAAAUUUUUGUUUUUCUUUUUCACUUGAUUAGUGAGAAUCGAACCCGUAUGCAAUGCGAUGCUUCUAAUCUAACAUGAAAUGAUAUAACAUGGCAGAAUAACCUAAAUUAUAUGACAUGAAUAAAAAAAUGCAAUGAUUAAAUAUGUAAUCUAAACUAAUCUAAUGACUUAACUCUAAUGACAAUCAAUUUCUAGCCAAAUGGACCUAACCAUAAUCACUAAGUAAUAUGCAUUUCAUGAACCUAAUUCUAUAUGACAUGCACAUGACAUUUUUUAUUUUCUUAAAAAGUAUGCAAUCUAUCCUAGAGAUUGAAACUAAUUUAUCCUAAGAUAUUUUUUGUAUUUUUUAAUAAAAAAAUCGAAAUUAAGACUAUCAAAUAAUUAACAUGCAAUUUAAAUCAGUGAAACGAAAAUCUAACAUCCUAAAUUUAUGUUUUUUGUAUUUUUUAUUUAAGAAAUUCGAAAGAAAUAAAUUUCCUGUUCUAGACAUGCAAAAUAACCUAAAACAAGUAAUAUCCUAACAUGCAUCUAAUCUAACUCAAAAAAAAAUUUCCUUUUACGGGAGCAAACAAAUAAAGGCAUCAAGAACAGCACGGCAACAAAUCAAACAAGAUAUCAUCCAUGUCCAUUUAAUUUUGGGAAAUAAAUUGACGAAUCGUAUCUCGCGCAUGAGAUCAGAUUGGCCAAUAUUUUAAGUAAAAUCACGAAUCGUAUCUCAAGCGUGAGAUCGGAUUGGUGAUUUUUUCGUACAAUUGCGGGUCAUAUUUUGGGCGUGAAAUCAGACCGUCAACCGUGUGAAAUUAAGAAUUAAUCUCUAAUUUCAAAUGCUAUCUGAACUUCGAUCAUGUGCAACGAGAUAUUUUAAAUAAGGAAACGGAAUAUUCGGAAAUUAAAUUAGACAAAAAUAUUACCUAAUCCAAAUAUUGACUUCCAAAAUUUGGACUUUGCGCAGUUAACGGAGAUUGCAGUGCUCAACAAUUUCGCAGCCAGUUGUCGAGGACAGCAGCUUAGUCACGAAAGAGCAACGGCAACGUCACGGCAGCAGGCCUGAACCGCUACAAAAUUGUCGCAGGGGACUCCACCGAUGUUGGACCACGAUUGGCUUUGAAUGUGGACCCAAGUUCGCUGGACUGUGGCAAGAUUUUUUUGAAAAAAAAACCUGCAAGAUUUGGUCAAAGAAAACUGGUUUGGGCUGCCUUCAACAGAUCAUGCACGAGAGAGACAAAUUCGAGAGAGACAAAUUCUUGUGCUUUUUAUCAUAAACUUGUGUUCAGACUAUAAGGGUUCUCUUUUGUGCACGUCCACUCCUCUCCCUCCAGGUGGAAGUGCUUGACUUUGUGGACAAAAAUUGCGGAGAUUGAGAGAAAUUUCCCCUUUUAAUCUAUGACCGUCUCCUGGCUUAACAGCGAAGCUCCGUGGCUUUGGAUGAAACUCGCCACAAAAAUUUCGGUCUUCUCGAGCAGUGGUUGGAUCGGCCAGUGCGAGCAGCAAAACAAACCAGGCUCGAGCAACAAGUCGCUGUGGAGUAUAUUACCAAUGCCUGACAGCGGAUAGGCAAAGAGUGGGUUAGGCUCACGUCAGGGAUAGCGACCUGCAAAUGCGUUUCGUCACAUCGAGGCAGCAAGCACUGGCGUUGCGAGUUCACGAAUGGUGCAGCAGCAAGUAGCGUUGGGGAUCAGCAGCACUGUCGUCAGCUCGGGAUGACGACACGAAUCGCUACAGAGGGUGGUGCUUUGCUGAAACCAAGCUUGCUAAAUUUUAUUGGUCAACGAGACAAGGUGGAGCGUGAGUGACCUGCAAAGAAGAAGAGAGAAAUCCUUCUAUAUAUAUUUAUUUUUUUGGCUCCCAUGUGGCCCCCUCCCUCUUCGCUGGUGGACUUCAGGAGGAUAGAGAUUUGCUGCAAAAUUCAACCGGGAUCUUGAAGGCUUGCGAUUGAUUAUCAGGAAAGGCCGCUGAGUCGGCGGGGUUGGAGAUGACGCCGGUGCUGGACUGGAAUGCGCCGGGAUUGCUGAGUUCUUCGAUGGGCUGAGAAAUUGUGGCAAGUGGCGCACAAGCAGGAGCAGCCGCUGGGGACAGAUGUGAAGCGUCGAAGUGCCGCCAGGACUGCUUAACGUUGCUCGCUGGAUGUCGGCAUUACUGAGCAUUCGCUGAGCAAGUUCUCGUGAAUCAGCGUCGAGAAAAAACACACAAUGGACAGUGAUGUUGCUGGUACGGGAAUUUGGGCACGACUGUUGAAAGUGACCAGCCUUGACCAUUAAAAAAUGAAAUCUCUCCUCUCUCUUGUGGUCCUUUCCAUUCUGGCCGUAUAUUCAAUAUGUGGCCUCCCCUCGAAACCCUACGCGAAAAACCUUUUUAUAGGCCGAAGAUUAGGGUUUUAAUUUCCUUUUCAAAUCAGCAUCCGCGAAGAUUUCUUUUUCGCACACAAUAUCACUUUUUUUUUUUUUUAUUUUCCACAUCUCCUGAUUUUAUUGCCUAAAGAUAAGAUUGUAACCCGAUUUUCUUAAAUUCCAAAAAUCCACCGUAAUAUUAUUUCAAAACUCCAUUUAGGUAAUUUUUGUAAUUAAAAGAAAACGGGCUCGAGCCAAUUUACUUGCUUCGUGGGCUUUAGUCCGGUCUAUCAAUUUAAAGCUUAGAACCACUAAUUCAAACACAUCCGCCACCGGUCCAAUAAAUGCAAAAAAAAAUGUAAAUGCACAUAAAUCUAUAUGCUAUGUAAUUAAUUAAUUAACUAAUAUUUUUUUAGGGGUUAAAAUUAAUCCCUAAUUUUUUAAUGAAUAAACGGGUCACCAAAAUUUAGGUGUCAACAAAUAGUGCCGUUAUUUUCACAAGCUAGCUCAUACCGAGAGCUGCCGCAAUGUUUUGGAUCGCCUUUCAAUUGAAAAGGAUAACUUAUGUUAUGGAUCUCAUCGCAAGAUGAGGGGUCACACAAAUGAUUGUUCUUCGCAUUGUAACUUAUCCUUGAUAGUAGCAGUGUCACGCCCCAAACCUUGAGUGCGCCAAUAUCCCAUCAUGGUCAUGCAAAUGCGACAUUCCCAGGUAGUGUCGCCGACCCCAUUCAUUUAUUAUUGCGUAAGCGGAACGUAUUGUAAAACCCUUGACAAUGAACUAUGGGAUAGAAAAACCAGGAAGCAGAACCAUAACAUAACACUUUCAUAAUUCAACAGAAUUACAAACAGAGGUCUACGGCCAAAAGUCUACAAAAGACCGGCUCUCAAAAAUGAACUAUCCUACGACCUACAAGUCGGACAUGCUCUCCAAUCUUAUGACUUCACCUAUGCAACUCCUCAAGGCCAACUAAAGCUAUCUGGCCACUCCGUCCACCAGGGACUUGAAAUUUUAAUCACACAAUCGGGAUGAGACUUUGUCUUAGCAAGUUCAACCCCCUAAACCCCUAUUAGAAAGAAAAUACGCUCAAGGGUGGCCUAGCCACAACAUCAAAAAGACUUACCUCGCAUUAGUCUUCAUCUGCAGGUUAGCACAGUUUAUAUAAUUCAACCACGUGCAAUUAUGAUAACCAAACAACUGUGGGACAAUCACAUCAUCAGAACAAUUUAACCACUUGGAUCGUUUCAGCGAUCAAUCGACUCGGCCGAUUACAUGUCAUUCUAGCAAAUCAAUCAUUGCCUCCAAUCACGACCCUAUAGGAAGGUUUAACAACCAACGGCAAUCACGGCCCCACUCGGCAAAAUUAGUAUUAGUGGCAUCACGGCCCCACUCGACACAACCUUUAAAAGGUGGUAGAUCCCGGCCCGAUGGGCAUGACCUCUAAUAGGUGGUUAAUCACGGCCCGGUUGGGCGCGACCUUGAUCAGGUAGCGAAUCACGGCCCCAUUGGGCACGACCUCUAAUAGGUGGUUAAUCACGGCCCGAUUGGGUGCGACCUUUAUCAGGUGGCGAAUCACGGCCCCAUUGGGCACGACCUCUAAUAGGUGGUUAAUCACGGCCCGGUUGGACACGACCUUUAUCAGGUGGCAAAUCAUGGCCCCACUGGGCAUGACCUAUAAUAGGUGGUUAACCACGGCCAAUCUCUCAUCAAUUUCAACACUUGGGAUUUUAUAAGAAGAAUCCCUAUUUAUCGCUAUCACACUCAAUUUGCCACAAUCGAUUAUCAAAUUCAAAUUCUAAAGACACAGACUUCCAAAGAUAAUUUUCGAAAUUUAUUAAAUAAUUAAUUUUAUUCCAAAAUUGAUUUAAUAAUAAUAUUUUAAUAAUUUCGAAUAGAUAUAUAUUAUUAAAUAAUUUAAAAUUUUCGGAAUACUUAAAUAAAUCAAAAAAAAAUUCUUUAAGUCACAUCAAAGCUUAUAUUAAUAUAAACAUUCACUUAGCCUUAAAUUAAACACACUUUAAGUAAAUCAAGCACCUUAAUAUAAUCUACACUUAAAUAAAUUAAACUAACCACCUCAUAACACUUAACAUAAACUAAACCUCCCUAAGUAUAAUUAACCCUCUAAGCGAGGUUUAGUGAGUUAAACUCAUCGGAUUAGCGAGCUGAGCGGACCAAAACGACGGGGACGCCGAGGGGAACAACUUCCUUUAAAGCAGACCAAGCAUCCGAGGUCAGGAAGCCGACAAAACGGGCCAAAACCAAGCUGCCAUACCCAUUUUUGAUUGAUGUUGUCCGCUGCAGUUUGAGGCCAAGGAAGGGUAGAGCUGGAGCUUGGAUGAGAUGGAGAAGGACCGGGGAAGGUUGAGGGGUCGAAUCGAACCUAGGCAGGGCUCGAACGGUGGCCGGAGGUGGUUGAUCCGAGGCUGGUGCUGGCCGAACAGCCUCCUAGAUGCACAAGUAGAGGCCAACAGAGACGGCCGGGCGUCGGCCAAGCGCGGACAAGCGCGGGCAGCAGCGAAGCGCAAGACGGCGAGUGGCAACGACGGUCCUAGCUCUGGCAGCUUACUGGUUGAUCUUCGCUGCUGCUGGCGCUCUCAGAUUUGCUAGAGACGUCGAGCACGAGCAGGAGAUGGAGUAGAGAGGGAGGCGAUGGCGCAGGUGGGCGGCAAGCGGCCUAGCGGUGCAAAUGGCAACGGUAACUGGCGAUGAAAGGAGCUGAGGGUUGCUGCAUCCGCUUUCUUCGGUUGCUGGGCGAGCGAAGAAGGAGAAGAAGAUGGAGAGGGGGGUGCCGACGGGAGAGAGAGAGAGAGGGAGGAGAGAGAAGGAAGGGGCCACCCCUUUUCUUUUCUUUUUUUCUUUUUCUUUAAUCCAACACAAAUGGUCCACCAUGACCUAAGAUGACAUCACCUUCCACUAAAUUCAAAUCUCCCACAACAAUCUUCAAUAGGUCCAAUUUCUUUUUCCGCUGAGGCAUGAAAUCUUGAACGCUAACUUCUUCAAUUCCAAUCAAUUCUCUUCCAAAUGAGUAUAAUUAAAGUCCAUAAAUUAAUCCAAUGAUCCUAAUAAGAUUUGUGACACACUAUGACUUCCAAUUUCAGAAUUCGAUCUCAAUUUCACGGUUAAUUUCACUUUGGCACGAUACUAGCGCGUCCUAAUCUAUCGGGUAGCUUUUAGAAAUUUUCGUGCAUUUGACCUAUGGUUGAUCGAUUCAAGCCACAAUGUGCAUCUUUGACACAUUGGCGACUCUCGGUUGUCGGGAUAAUUUCAAGGUUUCAAACACGAACACGGGGUACCCAAACGACAGAAAAGCCAGUCCAGUGCCGAUCAACAAGAAUUGUGCGAUCUGGUGGAAUCACCCACAUCCGAUCACAUGCCUCUGUCGAGUUGACCUAUCUUCGAUUUCUAAUCGAUUUUUAACUGUGUCGUAAUGACCCUUGCAGAUUAACUCGGUCGAAAGGUCGUUUCCUGGUCAAAUUCUCGAGUCCGAUGCAUUAGAAUUUCUUAACGGCUUCACCUGAUAGAUUAGUUAUCCCAUGAGUGAUCAGUCCAAGGAAAAGAACUAUAUGCGUGCCAACGAAAUGCCCAUCUUAAUUUAUUGAAAAUAGUAUUGGAAAAUCGAGAUGUCACAAUGCGAACGUGCGAUACGAGAAGUAAAACACGGAGUGUAAAUAUGGAGCUGAGAGAAAUAAUCAUCUCUUUAUCGUUAGUAUGGUGCAAUGAAGGUUUUAGCUCAUUUGGUAAUGCGAGAGAGGCUUUAUAAAGGGUUAUGAGUCGUCGGUCAUCGAAAUGUCCAAGUCAACCCUAAAACAAAGUCUAGCGAAGAAAGUCUUAAAAAGUAUGGCCCAGCUAAAACCUAUGUAGCAUCGACACGAACAUGUGACAUGCGACACGACACAACACGACACGCCCACACGUCAUUUAUUAAAAAUAGAGAAUUUCGACACAUUCCGACACAUUAUAUAUUAAAUAUAUUUUAAUAAUAAUAAUAAAAAUAGCCUAGAAUUAAUUUACGCGAAAAAUAUUAAAUAAUAUCAUUCAAUAUUUUAAUUUGUUACAAUAAUACACAAAACUUAGAGGAAAAAAACAUUGUUUAAAGAAAAAUGCUAAAAUGAUAUUUUUAAAUUUAUUUAUUUAUCAUAUAUAGCAUUUUUUUUUAUUACUUCUUUCAUAGUAAAAGACUUUAAAAAAAAAAAACAAUUCUAUAAAACCAAAACUGAAAAAAGAAAAAAUUGAUCCCGUGCGUGUAUAUUUAUAGCAAUUUUAUUAUUCUUUUAUUACUUCUUUUGUGCAUAUUUAUAUUUUGACCCCUCAAGUAUUAGAAAUUUUUAAAAUUGACUCAAUGCGUGUCGGAAUCACGUGUCGAAAUUCUGGACUGUCGAAGCGUGUCGGAGAGAGUUGAACAUGUGUUGGAUUUUUCAACACUCGUUGACCACGUGUCGGAGCGUGUCGGGACGUGUUGGAGCAUGUCAGACACGUGUCGGAGUGUCGAACACGACAUGAAGGCUUCCGGAGAGUGUCCGUGCUACAUAGGCUAAAAUACGGUCUCGGAAUUAGUAAUGGAUAGCUUUCACAUCAUGACGGAGGAAACCUCUUACAUUUCCCAAAAUUGAUUUUCUUGGCAAAUCAAUCUCUCUUUAUUUUAGUAUCGUAAAAAAGAAUCAGUUUCAAUGUUUUGUACCCUAAACUCAAUCAAAAUCCUUUCAAAUACGGCAUCUGGUGUUCUAUUUUAUUUUCAAGGCCAAUAUUUCGUAAAUGUCAUUUCGUUAAAUUUUGAAGACGGAAAGAAAAAAGAUGAUGUAUUUCAUCGUAUAAGAUUUUUCAUUUUUUGAGAAAAAAUUAGUAACCAAGAAAGAGGAUCAUGUUAAUUAACGGGUACAUAGAUUUUAACUCGUAUAAUGUGGCUUUCCGUAAAUAUAGAAAGGAAAUAAGGAGUCGGCGCUUCUUGCUCAUGGAUGUUGUGAAACUUUAUGAAAGAAAAAAGCAAUAUGGUAAAUUCUCAACUAGCAAUGGGACUGACACAUCUCGAUUAGAAACUCACUUGCAUCAUCGUGGAUCGACACACGCAAGGACUAUAGACACGGCAUUUGAAUUCACAAAAAUAAUGUGAUGUUUACUUAGUCACUAUGCUGAAAUUUUAAAAUCACUCUUUUCCAUAAUUGAACCACUUAAUGAACGAAUAAACUGAUCUCAAUAAAAAAGGCAAUACGAUAAUUUCUCAACCAAUGACCAAUUGAUGCGGGUCUCAAUUAGAAAUUCACUUGCUUCGUCAUUCUCAACACAUGCAAAGACUAUAGGUGUAAUAUUUUUUUUUUUGGUAAAAGACUAUAGGUGUAAUAUUCGCAUGCACAUAAAUCAACUAAUACGUACUUAUUCAUUGUCAAUUGAAAUAUCAUUCUUGUGGAUCAGUCAAUCACUCGCCUAUAAAAUAAUCUCAUCUUUUGCUCGCAAUAAAUCGAACUGACCUAUUACAAUAUCCAAUUGAAACAUGCCACAUCACUUAGUAAGUAAAUUUUUAUACGAUCCCUCAGUAGAGCUAACAUUUAAGAAGAGGAUGAGGAUGAAGAAAGAAACAAAGAAAGAACUGGGAAAGUCAGCUUACGGGAAUCAUGGUGUCUCCACCUCUCCGUUUGGUAUAUGAAACCUAAUUAGCAAAACUCGAAACUUGUUGGUGGCGAGAGUUUAUAAUAGGAGAUAGUGAAUCCCUCGACCGUCAUGUUGUGGGGGUCCUUAUACGGUGAGCUCGCACGAUUAUACCGAUCGUUUUUCCACCUUGGGAUAUAAUGCGGUAUUAAAGCCUCUGUGGUCAUGGUGUAAGUAUCCUUGAUGUCCCCUACUCGGAGAUCAAACCCAUGUACAGCAUAUGAGUACAACUUAAUUUGGGAAAAAAUAGGGGGCAUGUCGGAAGGAUAUGCUCCCUCAAUACAUGGUUCAGUAUUGACUUACGAAGUAGAAGCAAGGGGCUGUGAGCACUUCAUGAAGACCACCGGCACAGCUAACGAACCGUGUGGAUCAUUAUCACUAAAGUUGGAGAGCGCCAAUGAGUAAUGAGGGAGGGUUGAGCAAUUACUUUUUUUUGCAGUCCAUCUUCAACCACAGCGAUUUCGCCGUUGAAUAAACAUUUGCUAAGAUGGGAAUGGUAGUAAAUUGAUUUCACAUAAUAUUGGCUGUCAUAUAGAUAUAGAACAAUGUGAUUAUUUUCACAAGCUACCUUAUGUUCAUAGUGGCCACAUCCUUUUGGGUUGCCUUUCAAUCGAAAGUGAUAGCGUAUGUCAAGAACCUCGCCGCAAGAUGAAGCGGCAGACAAGUGAUUCUUCUAUGUACCGCAACUCAUCCCAAGUAGCAGCAGAACAUACAAUAUGAAAAGCAAAACACUGAACAUGCUUAUGGAGCUCAGAGACUUAAUCGUCUCUCUAUCGUUUGAUCCGAUGCAAUGAAAGUUUUUGCUAAUUGGUAAUGCGAUGGAGGCCCAGUAAUAUUGCGAUUGAGGCCCAGUAAUAUGAAUGAAAAGAGCCUGGAGUCCUCGGUCAUUCAAAUGUCUAAGUCAACCAAUAAAGCAAAGUCUAGUGAAGAAAAACUGGAUAUCACGUGGAAAUUGCAGUCCUUGCGGUCAAGGUAUCAAAACACGGUGGUGGAAUUAUUUAUGCAUAGCUUUCACAUUGAUUAAAAAAAAAACACUUCUCUGCAGUUUCCAGAUUGAAUCAAAAUCAUUUCAAGUGAGGCAAUGACGUUCUAUUUUCUUUUCAAGACUAAUAUUCCAUAAGUGUCCCUUUGUUAAAUUGUGACGACGAAAGGAAAAAGAUGUUGUAUUUCAUCAUCUAAGCUUUUUAUUUCUGACAAAAAUACAGAAAAUGGUAAGAAAAAUAGACUAUGAACAAGAAUAUAACUUGUAUAAUGUCGCUUUUGGCAAAAGUAAAAGAAAAAUAAGAAAUAAGUGCUUCUUGGAUGGUGUAACACGUUAUGAAAGAAAGAAAGCAAUACGAUAAUUUCUAGUGGUGGACCGACGCGCCCUAACUAGAAACUCACUAACUUCGUCGUCACGCAAACACCAUAGAUGCAAAUUUCCAAGUUCACCAUCAACACAAAGUCUAGCGAAAAAAAAAAGUGGGUCUCAUGUGGAAAUUGCAGCCCUUGCGGUCUAGGCAACAAAAACAGAGUGUUGGAAUUAUUUAUGGCGUGGCUUUCACGGUGAUUAGAAAAGAAACUUUUCUGCAGUUUUCAGAUUUAAAUUUUCUUGGCAAAUUGACUCUUUAGGAAUCAAUUUUAGUUCAAUAAAAAAAGAAUCGAUUGGAAUGUUAUGUACUCUAAAUUGAAUCAAAAUCCUUUCAAGUGAGGCAUUGGCAUUCAAUUUUAUUUUCAAGGCCAAUAUUCCACAAGUGUUGGUUCGAUAAAUUGUGAAGACAAAAUGGGAAAAACAAAAUGUCGUAUUUCACUGUAUAAGCUUUUUCAUUAUGGACAAAAAAAAAAAAAACAGAAUUGGUAACAAAGAUAGACUAUUAAAGGGAAUAUUAGCUUGUAUAACAAAAAUAAAAGGAAAAACAUGAGUUAGUGCUUUUUGGAUGGUGUAACAGAUUAUGAAAGAAAGAAAGCAAUUCGAUAAUUUCUAGCGAUGGGACCGACGCGCAUUGACUAGAAUCUCACUAACUUCGUCAUUGCACAAAGACUUUACAUGCAAUAUUCAAGUUCAAAGAAAAGAAAAACAAUGUUUAUUUAUUCACUAUCAACUUCAAUAUUACAAUCACUCUCCCAUACUUGUGUUAGAUCUAUGAACAAUAUUGUCAUCUCUCUGGGAACUCCCUUGCUUGGUUUUAUUUAAAAUCGAACUGAAAUGAUAGCCGAGCGUCGUUUUCCCUAGUCCACGAGCAUGCCCGGUUUGGACGAGCCAUCCUUUUGUCGAGUUUGAGUGUCACUUGCUGUUCUUUUUUGAGUUUGGACAUGAGUUAGAGUCUAGAAUGGAGGACCAUUCUCACGUGGAAUUUCACGACCACUAAAGAGAUUAAAUUUGUUAAUUUUUUCCAUUUUCUAUUUUUUUAGCAUCAAUUUAAAUGCUGCUUUAUUUUGAUAAUAAUAAAACGUAAAAAUUUAUACUUCUCUGUCUGCGAUCUCUGAAUGAAACGCGUUCCUUAUGAACAUCAGUGUCUUGAGGAAUGUUUGCUUAGUAAGAAAACUCAUGUGUAGGGGACAACAGUGAGGAAUAUAAUGCUUGUUCUUAGGAAUGCAAGGCACCAUCUCAUGUCUUAUCAUCGAGUGAAUGCACAAGUGAUGCAGCCCGCAUUGAAGACCAGCUCUCUCAACCAAGAAGAUCGGCCUGCAUUCAAGCUCGACGAAACCGAGAAGCCAUAUCGACAUCUUGAGUCCAUCUCGAAAGCUGGAAAGACACCGGGGGAGCCGUGAAGACAUUAUGCUUUUACUAUUUCUCCUAGUUUCAAUGUUCUGUCUUUAUUUCUCCUAGUGUCAGUGCUCUGUCUUUAUUUCUUUGAUGAUAUAAGACAUCCAAUUUCUUGUAGAAGACAGACGACUUUUGAUGAAUGAAAACUUUGCUUUGAAGCAAGUAUCGUGAACAUUGUAGAGUUCAUAUCCCCUUGAAAACCUAGAAGAGUUUUCACUCCAUCCUUGAAGAGUCGGAGCUUUCGAAAUCUGCAUCCUUGAAGAGUUGCAAUCAUCAAUCUAGAAGAAUCGGUGCCCCCUCAACUUCCUCGGAGGCCUAGAAGAGCAACCAACGGAGUUUCUAUCUUUUCCUGUUCUGUUCAUUAUUUCCAACCCAAAUUCGACCAUCCUACAGUGCUUAUUUCAGAAAACCCAAAACAGAGAAAUUGUAUAUCCAGAAGUCUUUGUUCAUUUGGCUUUGGAAUCAAGUCGAUCCGAUCUGUAUCAACAAUGAUACGACUGUUCUCCUGAGCUCACACAGUGCCGAAAUUUCUGUUUGUCCUGUUUUCCCGCAUGUGAGUCACUCUCCCGAUCCUACUGUUUGAGAAAGCCUACCCUUGGCUUGCAUCAUUUGGUAUCAAAGCUUUGGAGGAGAGGACAAUGCCACCAAGACAAGCUAGAUGUCGUGGUGGUAGAACCAUUCCCCUUGAUGAAUUGCACACACUCGUUGAGAAUAUGCAACAACAAAUUGACGAAUUGACAUAAGAAGUUCAGCGUUUGAGGGCUGAAGCAAAUAAUUCUCCACCCCAUUCCAGGACUGAAGAUUCCCAUGGUGACUCUUCCUCUUCGGAGAGUGUUCAAUCAAUUUACGGUCGGAGGCAUGUUCGACAUUGCUUACAACAUAUUCGUGAGCCAGAUUGGGAAAAGGAAGUCAAGAAAGAUGUUCCAGAAUUUACAGGUACUGAGUCUCCUAAUGAAAUUGUUGAUUGGCUAACACUUGUGAAUGAGUGUCUGAGCAUCGAAAUGUUCUGAAGAAUCAUUGAGUUGGGAUAUGAUAUGCGAUUCUGAGGCAAGCGAGGAUCCCGUGGAGACGUGAAAAACAAACUCGCCAAGCCGUUGGCAAAGCACCAAUCACUUUGUGGAGAAAGAUGGGGAGCAAGAUUCAAAAAUAUUUUCUUCCCAAAGGAUAUAAGAGAGAGCUCUACCAACGGUACCAAAAUCUAAAACAAGGUACGCGAACGAUGGACCAAUACACCAAUGAAUUCAAUGAGUUGGUGAUUUGUAACAAUAUCCAGGACUUGGAGGAGGUGCUUGUGAACAAAUACUUGAAUGGUCUUCAAUUUUACAUUCAAGACGCCUUGGAAGUCCUCAACAUUUGGGACUUAGGAGAUGCACACCAACGAGCACCCAAAAUGGAGUGCUCUCAUUCUCGAAGACAGUAAUCAACUACCAUGGCAAGUUGGGCCACUAAGAGUACCACUAGCGCUGCUAAAGUUGCUGAGGCUACAACACAAUCUGCUAGUAAGCCUUCUACUUAGCCCCAUGUUUCAAAGCAACCUGUUAUGUCCGAAAUACGUUGCUAUUCUUGUGGGGAGUUGGGUCGUCAUGCAAGCAAUUGUUGAAUCAAUAAGAAUCGACCAGCCGGUAAAGCCUUCUUGGUGGAUAAUGAUUCUGACGAGAAUGCUAAGGAUCCAGUUGAAGAGGAGUUGAACAAUGAUGAAGAAGCUAUGGAUGAUGAACAAAUAGUGCAUGCUGACACUAGCGAACUUCUUAUGGUGAGGAAAAUUUUUCUUACUCCUCGAGAUGACACUGGAGAUAGGUGGCUACAUACCAAUAUUUUUCAUUUUGCUUGCACAAUCAUGGGAAAGGUGUGUCAAUUAAUUAUUGACUUUGGUUGUUGUGAGAAUAUAAUUUGUGAAGUAGUGGCAAACAAGCUGAAGUUGGAAUUAAAAAUGCACCCUAUGCCUUAUAAAAUGUCGUGGUUGAAGAAAGGUGCUGAGGUAACUGUUUUAAAAUGAUGCCUUGUUAAUCUGCCCAUUGGUUAUGUUUAUAAUGACAAGAUAUGGUGUGAUGUUCUGCCGAUGGAUGCUAGUCACAUUAUUCUUGGUCGACCAUGGCAAUUUGAUAGGAGGACUAUGCAUGAUGGUUAUCGAAAUACAUAUUCUUUUGAAUUUGGAGGUAAGAAGAUUUGUUGGCACCUAGUAGGGAACCUUUGAAAACUCCUGUAGUUGAGAAUUCCUUCUCCCCUACGUUGUUUACAAUGAAGGAUAUGAAGGAUGCUUUGAAAGGAGUUCAUAUCUUGUAUAUUUUGCUUAAUAAAACAGGUGAGAAGAAUGAAGUACCUCAUCGAGUUUAACCUCUUUUGGAAGAGUUCAAGGAUGUCUUCCUGAUGGACUUACCCAAUGGUCUCCCUCCUAUGAGAGAUAUUCAGCAUCAAAUCGACUUGAUGCCCAGAGCCUCUUUGCCAAAUCUUGUUCAAUACCGAAUGAGUCCGACCGAACAUGAGGAAUUGCACCAACAAGUUAUGGAGCUAUUGAAUAAGGGUUUUAUAAGGGAGAGCCUCAGUCCAUGUGCCAUUCCAGCUCUUUCAGUGCCUAAGAAAAAUGGUACUUUGAGGAUGUGUGUCGACAGUAAAGCGAUCAACAAGAUCACCAUCAAGUAUUGAUUUCCUAUUCCUUGCCUUGAUCAUCUCUUAGAUCAACUUUCUGGUGCAAUUAUAUUCUCGAAGCUGGAUUUGAAGAAUGGAUAUCAUCAAAUUAGAAUCAAACCCGAAGAUGAAUGGAAGACAGCAUUCAAAAUGAAAGAUGGGCUAUAUGAGUGGCUAGUCAUGCCAUCGGAUUGUUGAAUGCACCAUCGACAUUCAUGAGGUUUAUGACUCGGGUGUUGAUGCCUUUUCUGGGAAAGUUUGUUGUUGUUUAUUUUGAUGAUAACUUGAUUUUUAGCAAGUUUACUGAUGAGCACUUGCAGCAUCUUCAAGAAGUAUUAUGUGCGUUGAGGUAGGAACAAUUGUAUGCAGCUCUUGACAAGUGCUAUUUUAUGGUACCACAAAUCCUUUUCUUGGGGUUUCAUAUUUCAAAGAAUGGCACUUCGGUAGAUGAUUCUAAGAUCAAGGUGAUUCGAGAAUGGCCAACUCCAACAAAUGUGCAUGAAGUGUGCAGUUUUCUUGGCCUCGCUUCGUUCUAUCAAUGGUUUAUUGUGCAUUUUAGCACCAUUACGGCCCCACUCACUUCUUGCAUGAAGAAGGGAGUUUUCAAAUGGACGAAUGCAGCUCAGAAAAGUUUUGAAUAGCUCAAAGAAAAAUUGAGCACAGCCCCGGUACUUGCAUUGCCUAAUUUUGAUCUUAUUUUUGAAGUGCAUUGUGAUGCAUCAAGUACUGGCAUAGGAGGAGUUCUAAGUCAAGGAGGUCGACCCAUCGCCUUCUUUAGUGAAAAAUUGAAUGGUGCCAAACUUCAUUAUAGCACCUAUGAUAUGGAAUUCUACGCAUUAUUUCACACACUUGAGUAUUAGCGGCCAUAUCAUAUUCAUCGAGAGUUUAUUUUAUAUACCGAUCAUGAAGCUCUGAAGUAUAUUUUUAGAUAGCAAAAGCUUAACUCUAGGCGUGCAAAAUGGGCUAAAUACAUCCAGUAGUUCACUUUCAUUAUUAAGCAUAAGGCUGGAGCUCAUAAUCAAGUUGCCGAUGCCCUUAGUCGAAAGAAGAGCUUGCUCUCUACAAUACAUCCUAAUGUUCUUGGAUUUGAUUAUUUUUCAAGAGUUAUAUUAAGAAGACCCCUACUUUUCCAAGAUCAUUCCCGAUGCACAUGAAAAGAAGCUUGCUGAUUUUACUGUCUGUGGUGGUUUUCUUUUCAAAGGAAACCGUUUAUGUGUGCCGGACUGUUCUCUUCGGCAAAGGGUGAUCGAUGAAGUUCACCGUGAAGGACAUUUUAGGCGUGACAAAACUGUACAACUCGUCUUAGCUAAAUACUUUUGGCCUCAUUUGAAACGUGAUGUACAUCAACAUGUGAUGAGGUGUCGGCGUUGCCAAAUUGGAAAGGGACAAGCUACUAAUGCUGGCCUUUAUUUGCCCUUGCUGAUUCCACAUGCCCCAUGGGAGGAUAUCUCUAUGGACUUUGUCCUUGGACUACCACGAACAAAUAGAGAUAUGGAUUCGAUCUUUGUUGUUGUCGAUCGAUUUUCAAAAAGUGGCACAUUUUAUUCCAUGUCAAAAAACUAUGGAUGCUUCACGUAUUGCCAACUUAUUUUUCAAGGAAGUCUAUAAGUUGCAUGGUAUUCCAAAGACCAUUACUUCAGAUCGAGAUACAAAAUUUCUUAGUCAUUUUUGGCGACAACUGUGGAAGAACGUUUGCAAUAUAGUACUAUGUUUCAUCCCUAAACGGAUGGACAAACUGAGGUCGUCAAUCAAACAUUGGGAAAUCUAUUAAGGACUUUGAUAAAAUUAAAAAAAAAAAAAGUUAUCCCCGUCCUUGGGAGACGCGGUUGUCACUUGGAUAAUUUGCAUAUAAUUGUGCUGAGAACCAUAGCACUGGAUAUAGCCCAUUUAUGAUCGUAUAUGGUCAACAACCGAACACUGCUCUUGAUCCUGCACCAAUUCCUUUUGCUGAGAAGUCGAGCAGCAAGGUUGACGAUAUUGUUUCUCAAAUGAGGACAAUUCAUGAAGAUGUGUGCCAAAGACUAGAGAGCAAAACUGAAUCCUAUAAAACGAACAUUGACAAGCAGCGGCGUGAAGUUAUCUUUGAACCUGGAGAUUUUGUUUGGGCUUAUUUGCCACCGGAAUGGCAUCCCAUUGGAAGUUAUAACAAGCUUAGUGAUCGAAAGCUUAGACCUCUCAAAGUUCUUGAGCGCAUCAAUCUAAUGCGUAUUGAUUAAAUCUUCCUUCUCAUUUGAAGAUUCACGACGUCUUCAACAUUUGACAUUUAACACCUUAUGUGGGAGAUUCUUCUGAUGAUGAUGGCGAGAAUUCGAGGACAAAUUCUUUUAAAGAUGGGGAGGAUGAUGCAGCCUGCAUUGAAGACCAGCUCUCUCGACCAAGAAUAUCAGCCUGCAUUCAAGCUUGACGAAACCGAGAAGCCAUAUCAACAUCUUGAGUCCAUCCCGGACAUCCCGGAAGCUGGAAAGACACCUUGGGAGCCAUGAAGACGUUAUGCUUUUACUAUUUCCCCUAGUUUCAAUGUUCUGUCUUUAUUUCUCCUAAUUUCAAUGCUCUGUCUUUAUUUCUUUGAUGAUAUAAGCCAUCCAAUUUUUUGUAGAAGACAGACGACUUUUGAUGAAUGAAAACUUUGCUCUGAAGCAAGUAUCGUGAACCUUGUAGAGUUCAUACCCCCUUGAAAACCUAGAAGAGUUUUCACUUCAUCCUUGAAGAGUCGGAGCUUUCGAAAUCUGCAUCCUUGAAGAGUGGCAAUCAUCGAUCUAGAAGAAUCGGUGCCCCCUCAACUUCCUUGGAGGCCUAGAAGAGCAACCAAUGGGAGUUUUUAUCUUUUCCUGUUCUGUUAGUUAUUUCCAACCCAAAUUCGACCAUCCUACAGUGCUUAUUUCAGAAAACCCAAAACAGAGAAAUUGUAGAUCCAGAAGUCUUUGUUCAUUUGGCUUUGGAAUUAGGUCGAUCCGAUCUGUAUUGACAAAGAUACGACUGUUCUCCUGAGCUCGUGCAAUGCUGAAAUUUCUGUUCGUCCAAUUUUCCCAUGUGCGAGUCACUCUCCCGAUCCUACUGUUUGAGAAAGCCUACCCUUAGGGAUUGAGCUUUUGUAAUACAUAAUAUGCUCUAACAUAACAUCACAUGUUCAAUGUCCAUUCAUCAUAAAGGCAAAAUUGUCAGCCUACUCUGUCUUUACUUUUUGACAUGUGCUGGUCAUUCAUCAGUUAGGCUUGGACCCAUCCCAUGACAUGAGGACCAAGUCGGAGAUAGCUUGAGCAAGUAGCUGUCUUUAACGUGGGUGAUCAAACAGAGGUCAACGGGUGGGGAUGAGAGGUUUUGAUGGAAAUGAGAGAGAUUCAUUGCUCAAAAUGCAAACAUUGACAUGAAGAAAAAAUUACCUUGUUAUACCAAGACGAUUCACAUAAAAAAAAAAUUGAAUGAAUGCCAUACAACAUUCAUCAUCAUUUAUAAAAUAUGGACAUAACGAGUCUACCAAAAAACACUAGUGCCAUAUGAAAAACAUGUAAAAGCUUCACAGAUUACAUUUUGAAUGAUGAUAGAUGUUGAUAGUACUAUUUAUAAUUUUUGCAUCUCAUUAUAGGGAAACAAUCACACAAUACAUGAUUUCAUAAACUCAUGGUCAUGGUAAAGGGAACCGCUAGAAAUUGUUGGAGUCCUUAAUGAAGAUGAGACUGUUUCAAGUUCCAUCUCAACGUCAACAUCAUCAGCAAGUGCCUCUCUCGGAUACAAAAGUGGUUUUGGAGGCAGUUGUAGUUUAUCCAUAUCUCCUUCAAGCAUAUCUAGGACUUUCCUCAUCGAUGGCCGAUCAUUAGGACUCAAUUGUAUACACCACAGUGCAAUGUUUAUCAUCUUCCUCGUUGUUUCUCUUUCCUCUUCUAUGACAUCUACCCUUUCAAGUUCCUUUUCUUUGCCGAGUUGAUCAUAAACCCACAAAGGAAAGUAAAUUUGACUCGAACGCUCUGCAUGUGCAUUUAGAUUUCUCCUUCUACCAGCCAUUUCCAUUAAUAGCAUUCCAAAACUAUAAACAUCGACUUUGUAAGAAAUGCCACCAAUGUUUUUAUAGAAUAGCUCAGGAGCCAUAUAACCCAAGGUUCCCCUUGCUGCAGUCAACGAUACUAUAUUGCGAUCAGUGGGAUAAAGUCUUGCAAGUCCAAAGUCAGAAACUUUCGGAGUGAAACUUUGGUCUAGGAGAAUGUUGUGAGGCUUGAUGUCAAAAUGUAGAAUUUGCAUAUCACAUCCCCGAUGUAGAUACUCUAUCCCUCUAGCUAUGCCAAGAGAGAUCUCAUACAUUUUCUUAUAAUCAAGAGGAUCAUCACCAUCCUUAUAGGAAAUGUGUUUAUCCAAAGAUCCAUUCGGCAUGAAAUCAUAGACAAGAGCUUGUUUGGAGUAUUGGAAACAAAAACCAACAAGUUGCACCACAUUAACGUGGUGGAUCCUUCCAAUUGUGGCCACUUCACUUAUAAAAUCAUGGCCAUUAGAUUUUCCUUUCUUCAAAAUCUUAACCGCAACUUCAUUGCCACUUCUAAGUAUUCCUCUGUAUACGGAACCAUAUCCCCCCUCACCUAACUUGCAUUUGAAAUUUUUUGUGAUCCUCUUGAUAUCUGAGUAAGAGUACCUUAUGGGCAAAAAGCUAUUGUGAGCUCGUAGAAAUUCUUCGAUGUUUGCAUCGGUCGCUUGAUGCCUUCUCAUCCACUUCAAGAUUAGAAAUAUCAACACCCACGGAGCUCCGAGUAUGAAUUUUGCUGCUAGGAAGUGGACUGUGGAGAAAUUUGACCAUCAAUUAGCAUAGUGUGAUAAUGUUUUUUAACACAUACAAUUUUCGUUUGUCAAAGUGCUGAAUGAGAGCUUCAUAGGUGUGAAGAGAAAAGGACUUAUCAUACCCAAGACAAAGAAGAGAUUCCAUAUGGCAAUUGGACCAAAAUUGUUCAUGAUAUACCACGUAGAAUCAUCUGUAGAUAGUAAGAGAAUUCAUGAGAGAUUACUAGAUAUGGUUAAUUAGAAUAAACAACCAAUCAAUAAAGAACUAGAUCCAUUGUUUUAGCAGUUAAAUAAUAAAAGCAAUUCAUGUUAAGAUAUACCCCAAGUGAAGGAUAACUUCAUACAAUCACUGCAAAGUGCAAAGACACACUUUUGUUAAUUGAAAUUUGCAAGUAGAGAAGUCUAGAAUAAAAAAAAGAGUGAACGAGUUUCACUUUUCUAGAUAAUGCUUAGAUCCAACCUUAUUCUAUUCACUCAUGAAAUCCAUGUUAUCGUUGCAUGAUCUUUUCUUUUGAAGAAAAACAUUUUCGCUUUUAUUCUCCUAAAUGUACCAAUUGUUCAUAAGUUCCCCAUAACACUAACAUCAAUUCAAGGGACACAAGCUAUGACCAAAUCAAACAAUUUUUCCUAAAAAACCCUCAUUCUAGUCCAAUUUUGGCCCAAACUUUUUUUGUCUCAGAAGAAACCCCAAACUUUAGGUACAGUCCCAUAUUUGCCUCAAACUUUUCUUUUGUUUAAAAAAAUCACCAACUUUUAAUAUAUUCCAAAAUUUACCCCCAUGGUACGGUCCCAUUGACAUGACAUUUCCACAUCGAUAACAACGCCACAUCAGUAAGGUGACAUGGAAAAUUAUUUCCAAAAUGAAACCAUUCUAAGAUAUGAAAAUUAGGGACGACUAAUGGCAAUUUUCGGUCAAAGGGCUAAUGGGGUAGAUUUGCAAUUAGAGUAAAAAUUGGUGUUUUUUAUUUUAGACAAAAAAAAGUUAGAUAUAGAUUUAGGAUUUGGCCUAAAGUUUGAGGGUCUUUAUAGAUAAACAAAAGUUCGAGGCAAAUUUGGACUAGACCUAAACUUUAGGGUUUUUUUUAGACAAAAAAAGUUCGGAGCAAAAUUGGGACUAAACUUAAAGUUGUGGGUUUUUUUAGUGAAUAAGGCCCAAAAAAAUAAAAAUAAAGAAAGAGUGUCAAGUCCAAAAAAGCUCCACAGAUGUAAAAUAAAAGAGCAAUGCAUGCCAAAUCUACUAAAAAAUCUUACUGAGCUUUUUCACUAAAUGGAUGUGGCAAUUUUUUUAUUGGGUAUUAAAGAAAGUAAUGACUCAAUAAAUCGAACCAAUGUAUUACAAUAUCCAAUAGAAGCAUGCUACAUUACUCAGUAAGUAAAUUUUGAUAAGAUCCCUCAGUAGAGCUAACAUUUGAGAAAAGGAUGAGGAUGAAGAAGAGAAAGAAAGAAAGUAAGAGAGUAAAGGAAGAAAAGCUUCAGAGAAAGUCAGCUUAGAGGAGUAAUAUGGUUCACACCACACCUCUGGGUACAUAAUCAUGCAAAGCUGGAAAAUUACCGAAGAUAGCGUAGACGGUGAAGACGAUGCAGAUGGCGGAGAUGGCGAAGAUGAUGCACACGGCAAAGAUGGCGAAGACGAUGCAGACGGCGGAGACGGCGAAGACGGUGGAGGCGGUGGCGGCAGAGACGGCGGAGGCGGUGCAGAUGGCGAAGAGGGCGCAGACAGCGUAGAUGACAGAGAAGGCGAAGACGGCGGAGACAACAGAGAUGGCAGGAGACGACGGAGACAGCGAAGACCGCCAAGACAGCAAAGACAGCGAAGACGGCGAAGACAGCGGAGGCUGCGAAGACAACAAAAAAGAAGGUCCAAGAUAAUAGAGAUUGAAUCCUUCAACCAUCGUGUUGUGGAGGUCCUUAUACGUUGGUCUCCACAUCGGGUUAUAAUCCGAGAAGCAAGUCAUCACGGUUAUGCUGCAAGAAUCCUUGAUGUCCCCUACUUGUAGUACUUUUGUAAAAGACCAAUACACUGCGUAAGAGUACCACUUCAUUUGGGAAAUAUUAGGGGGCGUAUCGGAAGGGUAUGCUCCCUCAAUACAUGGUUCAGCAUUGAUAUACGAAGGAGAAGCAACGGGCUGUGAGCACUUCAUGAAGGCCACCGUCGCAGAAUAUGAAAGAUAACCAUGAUCACUCAAGCUGGAGCUCGCCAAUGAGAAACGAGGGAGGGAUGAGCAAUUACCUUUUUGCAAUCCAUCGUCAACCACUGUGAUAUUACCAGAGAAUUGAUCGUCGAAAUUAUUAUCAUAGUAAAUCGACUUCACAUAAUAUCGACCGGCAUACACAUAUAGAAUGGUGUGAUUAUUUUCACAAGCUAGCUCAUACUCAGAGCGGCCGCAGCCUUUCGGGUCACCUUUCAAUCGAAAAGGAUAGUGUAUGUCACGAACCUCACCACAAGAUGAAGCGGCACACGAGUGAUUCUUCUCCACACCAUAACUCGUCCUCAAUAGCAGUAGAACAUGCAAUAUGAAAAGUAAAACACGGAACAUGCUCAUGGAGCUCAAAGACUUAAUCGUCUCUCUAUCGUUUGAUCUGAUGCAAUGAAAGUUUUUGCUAAUUGGUAAUGCGAUGGAGGCCUAGUUAUAUGAAUGAAAAGUGUCAGGAGUUGUCGGUCAUACAAAUGUCCAAUUCAACCAAUAAAGGCAAGUCUACUGAAGAAAAGAGGACGUGGGUAUCACGUGGAAAUUGCAAUCCUUGCAGUCAAGGUGUCAAAACACGGUGUUGGAAUUAUUUAUGCUUAGCUUUCGCAUUGAUUAAAAAAGAAACUUCUCUAUAGUUUUCAAAUUGAAUCAAAAUCCUUUCGAAUGAGGCAUUGACGUUAUAUUUUCUUUUCAAGAUUAAUAUUCCAUAAGUGUUGCUUCGUUAAAUUAUGAAGAUGAAAAGGGAAAAGAUGUCGUAUUUCAUAAUCUAGGCUUUUUUUUUUUUUUUGACCCAAAAAAAACAGAAAUUGGUAACAAAAAUAGACUAUUAACAAGAAUAUGAAUUUUUAUAAUGUUGCUUUUGGCAAAAGUAAAGGGAAAAUAAAAAGUAAGUGCUUCUUGGAUGAUGUAACACUUUAUGAAAGAAAGAAAACAAUAUGAUAAUUUCUAGUAGUGGGCCAACACGUCUUGAUUAGAACCUCACUAACUUGGUCAUCACGCAAAGACUAUAGAUGCAAAUUUCCAAGUCAACCAUUAACACAAAGUCUAGCGAAGGAAGAGUGGGUCUUACGUAGAAAUUGCAGCCCUUGUAGUCAAGGCGACAAAAACACGGUGUUGGAAUUAUUUAUGGAGAAAAGAAACUUCUCUACAAUUUUCAAAUUUGACUUUUCUUGGCAAAUUGACUCUUUAGGAAUCAAUUUUAGUUCCAUCCAAAAAGAAUUGAUUGGAAUGUUAUGUACUCUAAAUUGAAUCAAAAUCCUUUCAAGUGAGGCAAUGGCGUUCAAUUUUAUUUUCAAGGCCAAUAUUCCGUGAGUGUCACUUCGAUAAAUUGUGAAGAUGAAAAAGGAAAAAAAAUGUCAUGUUUCACCGUAUAAGCUUUUUCAAUAAUGACAAAAAAAUAGAAUUAGUAACAAAAAUAGACUAUUAAAGGGAACAUUAACUUGUAUAAAAUAAUGUCACUGUUUACAAAAAUAAAAAAUAAAAUAGGAGUUAGUUCUUCUUGGAUGAUGUAACAAGUUAUGAAAGAAAGAAAGCAAUUUGAUAAUUUCUGGCGAUGGAAUCGAUGCGCAUUAACUAAAACCUAACCAACUUUGUCAUCGCACAAAGACUAUACAUGCAAUAUUCAAGUUCACCAAAAAAAAAAAAAGACGUUUACUUAUCCACUAUUAACUUCAGUAUUACAAUCUCUCUUCCGUAAUCAUGCUAGAUCUAUGAACAAUAUUGUCAUCUCUUUCCCAGAGUAGAACCACUUAAUAUUGAACUAUCGAUUACUUUUGCUCUAUCAAAUGAAAAAGAAUGUUUUUACCUAUUGUUGACACCUAAAUUCUUCCCUUUUUAUUUGGGACUUAAUUAUAUAGAAAAUUAAGGAUUAGUCUCUAAAAGAAAAAAAAAGUAAAUAUUUUUCAUUAAAUUGCAUCACUUAUAGACAUUAGGAACAUUUACAUUACUAGCACUAAAAAAUUAACAAAAAAUGAAAGCGCAGCCAGGAUUGGCUAAGCCUGUCCCCCCCUUCUUUUCCUUUUUCGUUUUCCCCCCGCGCGGCCCACCUCUCUUGUUCUACGGCCCAGCUCGCUGUUCUUCCUUCUUCCUCCUCCUUCCCUCGCUAGGACGCUAGCUAUAGGACAAAACAGAGAGAUGGUCGCUGGCCGAAGGACGUAAGGACGCGAGGCUGCGCGCGAUGGUCGCCCAGGAAUGUCGUGCGGUACAAAGCCAGCUGGUCUCGUCCUUGAAGAAAGAGAGAGAAACGAGAUAAAUGGGUGAGAAUUGGGUUUGUUCGGCCGAGGAAGAGCAACCAUGAGAGAGAGAGAGAGAGAGAGAGAGAGAGAGAGAGAGAGAGAGAGAGAGAGAGAGAGAGAGAGAGCUGGUGAGAGUGAGAAGGCGAGCUCGAGAGAGAGAGAAGGAGCGAGCCAGAUAAGAGAGGGAGCUCCAGGGUGGCUGCUUCUGGAAGGGUGCGGCUGAAAACCAAGGAGGGCCGGAGCGGCUCGAGAGAGGAGACCGAGAAAGUGGAUAGCGAGGGAGAGCGGGAGAGAGAGGCGACUGCGUUCUUGAGUUCUUCGCGGGAGGCUGGAGAAAACGAGAGCAAUAGAGAGAGUAAGAUCGGAGAGAGUGAGCAAAGGGUGAAGUUGAGAGAGAACCAAGAGUGAGCAGAGGGAUGGACUGAGAGAAAGCGAGACCCAGAAGCCGAACUUCGUCCUCGGCAAGCGUUACCCAACCAUCCCUAACAUAAAUGGGCGAUCUUCAGCCAACACCCUCGAGCCCGUGGCUACCUAUUCCUCACCACCCGAAUUCCCAGUGAGUUCUCUUUAGGUUCGAUCCACUUUUAUCCCGAUGAUCCUAGCUUGGUGCCACAUCGACGCGGCCGACCAUAGCUCGUUUUGCUUUAGGCUCACCUUCUUGCUGUCGUCGCCAAGCCGGGGAGGGAUAUUCCCGGUCGAACACUUCUCUCUGGGAACUCCGUUGCUUGGUUUUUUUAAAACGGAACCAAAACGAUAGCUGGGUUGUUAGACGUAAAAAUUCAUAUGCGGAAGCCAGGAUCAAUUGAAGACAACCCUCCAGUCAUUGUUCUUGUUCGCGUUCGUCAGAAAAACCUGAAAUCAAAGAAAAUUGGGGACACUCUACUACCCCAAUUCACUCUCGUACUGAUGGUGUAUUCUGAAUGAGAGAGUUUGAGUUAGACCUUGUCAUCACCCGUCAGAAAUGAACGUACGUUCCUUUUUAUAUCCCGUCUCCUCUUAAAACGGUUACCAAAUGGGCGGUUGUCACGAAAGGGUACAAAGCGUGGAAAAACUUUAUGUCGAACAGUCGCAACUUUAAAAGAAAAUGUGGAUCUAAAAUAUGGGAUCACAAAAAAUAAAUAACAUUCUUCCACUUGAUCCCAUCAUUUUCAUCAUAUGGAUUAUUCAACUAAUUCCACAAAAACUUUAUGCUAAAAAAAAAAGAAACAAAUACAUGGAUCAUGGCGACAUGUCCUCUAAGAGUGAGUAAUAUCUUCCAUGUAUCACAAUGCACCUUAUUUCUUCAAUGUCAACCUAUAUGUGACAACAAAUCUUAAUGAAUAAACCCCAUGUUUAUUCUAGAACCAAGGAUAAAUGUUAUUCUCAUAAACAACAAAAUGUGUACACAAAAAUUGAGAAUCAACAUUACAACUGAAUAAGAGUUUCAUACAACAAAUAUCGUUCAUAUGACGACAAAUUACAUGAUGGGACUUAUUCCCAUACUAGUUACAUGAUCCUUAUACUUCAUUGGUGGCAUGCCUUUAGUUAAAGGAUCGGCUAUCAUCAAUUCAGUGCUAAUGUGUUCAAUGACCACUUUAUUCUCCUUAACACGUUCCAUUAUGACUAAAUACUUAAUGUCGAUAUGCUUACUUUGACUGCCACUUUUGGCAUUUUUAGCCAUAAAGACCGUAGCUAAAUUGUCACAAUAUAUUCUUAAUGGCCUAGAAAUAAAAUCAACAAUUCUAAGCCCAGCAAUGAAACUCUUCAACCAUACACCAUGCGAGGUAGCCUCAAAACAAGAAACGUACUCAGCCUCCAUAGUGGAAGUAGCAGUCAAAGUCUGCUUGGCACUUAUCCAUGACACGGCUUCGCCAGCUAACAUGAAAAUGUAUCCAGAUGUUGAUUUUCGUGAAUCAACGCAACCCGCGAAGUCCGCAUCCGAAUAACCGACCACUUCCAGGUUGUCAGUCCAUCUAUACAUAAGCAUAUAGUCUUUGGUACCUUGAAGGUAUUUCAACACUUUCUUUGUAGCUCUCCAGUGGUCUAAACCUGAAUUACUCUGAUAUCUUCCCAACAUUCCCACAACAAAAGCGAUGUCAAGUCGAGUGCAAACCUGAGCAUACAUCAAGCUUUCAACAGCAGUAGCAUAUUGAAUGUUGUACAUUUGUUCCCUUUUUAGAUCAUUCUUCGGGCAUUGGUUCAAAUUGAACCUGUCAUCCUUCACAAUGGGUGCUAUACUUUGUGAACAAUCUUUCAUCCGAAAUCUCUCUUGGACCUUAUUGAUAUAGGUUUCUUGAGAUAGUCCUAAAAUUCCUCGAGGUCUAUCUCUAUGAAUCUUAAUGCCAAUGACAUAAGAUGCCUCACCCAUAUCCUUCAUGUCAAAACUCUUAAAGAUGAAUUAUUUCACCUCAUGUAACAACCUCUUAUAAUUAGUUGCAAGUAGUAUAUCAUUCACAUACAGCACAAGGAAACAAAUUUUGCUCCCACUGACCUUCUGGUAUAUACAUUGAUCCAUGACAUUCUCUAUAAAACCAAAUGAAGAGAUGACAUCAUGAAACCUUAAGUACCAUUGGCGGGAUGCUUGUUUCAAGCCAUAUAUAGAUUUCUUAAACUUGCACACCAAAUGCUCACCUUUACUAGAGGAAAAUCCUUCAGGUUGUUUCAUGUAAACCUCCUCCUCUAGUUCUCCAUUGAGGAACACCGUUUUCACAUCCAUCUGAUGUAAUUCCAUAUCAAAAUGGGCAACCAAAACCAAAAUAAUAUGAAGAGAAUCUUUCUUAGAUACAGGAGAAAAAGUCUCCGUGUAAUCGAUUCCUUCCUUUUGAGUGAAUCCUUUGGCAACAAGUCUAGCUUUAUAUCUUUCAAUGUUAUCCAAUGAAUCCUUCUUAGUUUUGAAGACCCAUUUACAACCAAUGGCCGUCACACCAUUAGGUAACUAAACCAAAUCCCAGACUUUAUUAGAUGCCAUAGAAUUCAUAUCUUCAUUCAUGGUAUUGUACCACAAAUUAGAUUUAUCACUAUCAAUGGCUUGUGAAAACAUUUCGGGAUCAUUCUCAGCUCUAAUAUUGUAGUCAGACUCUUGUAAAUACACAAUAUAAUCACUAGGAAUAGCCGAUUUCAUUAUUCUAGCAGAUCUUCUCAAUGUUGGAUCAACAUUCUCUUGAGGAGCAUGUUGCUCAACUGGUUGUUCAACAGUUUCUGGUAAUUGCUGAACAACUGGAUCUACUUAAUCAAUAUCAGCAGGUUGUGGAACUUCAACAAUUGGUUGUUCAAUAGCCGGCUGAACUGAAAGGACAUUAUGAGCAACAACCAACCUUAAACUUGAGGUGGAAGGUUGAGUGUCUGAAUGAUCUUUCUUAGGAACAAGAUCCCUCGGUCAAUCGCUCCCACUAAUCAAGUCAUUUUCAAGAAAUUUAGCAUUUCUUGAUUCCAGAAUCCUAGUGGUAUGAGAUGGACAAUAAAACUUGUAUCCCUUAGACCUUUCGGCAUAUCCAAUGAAAUACCCACUUAUGGUCCUUGGGUCCAACUUCUUUUCUUGUGGAUUAUAAAUUCUCACUUUAGACGGGCAUCCCCAAACGCACACAUGAUGUAAACUCGAUUUCCAACCCUUAAAUAACUCAAAAUGUGUCUUUGGGAUAGCCUUGGUCAGAACUCGGUUUAAUAUGUACACUGCCAUCUUAAGUGCUUCAGUCCAUAAGAAUUUAGGAAGUUUGGAGCUACUAAGCAUACUACGCACCAUGUCUAAUAAUGUCCGAUUUCUUCUUUCCGCUACGCCAUUUUGGUCUGGAGAACCAGGCAUAGUAUAUUGGGCAACUAUCCCAUGCUCUUGAAGAAAUCUUGCAAAUGGACCAAGUGCUUGUCCAUCUUCAGUGUAUCUACCAUAGAAUUCUCCACCUCUAUCUGAUCUCAUGAUCUUAAUUUGCUUAUUGCAUUGUUUCUCUACUUCCACCUUAAAUACCUUAAAGGCAUCUAGUGUUUCAUAUUUAUUAUAAAUCAAGUAGAGAUACAUAUAACGUGAAUAAUCAUCUAUUAAGGAUAUGAAGUAUUUAUGACCACAUGAGUCCAUAUCCGAACUACAAAUAUCCGUGUGUAUGAUUUCUAAUAUUUCUGUACUUCUCUUGGCAUCUUUCUUUGUUUUGUUAGUCUGCUUUCCCUUUAUGCAGUCCACAUAAGUAUCACAAUCAGUAAAAUCUAAAGUACUGAGUACUCCAUCAUUUAUUAAUCACUUAAUUCUUUCAAUGGAGAUAUGUCCCAAUCUCUGGUGCCACAACAUAGAGGAAUGUUCUUUCACAACACAUCGUUUCAUACCAGCUUUAUCAUGAACAUGCAUCGCAUCAUAAUAGGCAUUGUCUUGUAAAUUAAUUCGAAAAAGACCAUCAGACAAAGUAUCACUCCCGCCAAUUUCAGAUUUAAAUGAUAAACAAAAGUUUGAAUCUGAAAAGUUAAAAGAGUAUCCCAAAGGUACAAGUCUUGAAACUGAAAUUAAGUUUCUAGAAAAACUAGGAACAUAAAAGGUCUUUUCCAAAUCUAAAACAAAACCACUAUUGAGAACUAGUCUAUAUGUCCCAAUAGCUUCCACAUGCGAACACAUCUUGUUUCCUGAAUAGAUGCUUUGUUCACUUCCCACUGGCUUCCUGUGGUUUUGAAAACCCUGCAAGGAAUUCGAAAUAUGGAUUGUAGAUCCAGAAUCAAUCCACCAAGUGUUGUGACUUACAUCAAUCAUAUUAGAUUCAUAACAAACACAAGAUAUUGGAUUACCUUUCUUCUCGGGCCAGGCCUUAAAUUUGACACAAUCCUUCCUUAUAUGCCCUUUCUGUUUACAGAAGAAACACUUGGAUUCUUUCUUAAUGUUAGCUUGGGGAGGUAUAUUACAUUUUCCCUUAUACUUGCCAUAGCCCUUAUUCUUUUCUUGUGUUGCCAAAUGAGCACUUACUCCCAAUUCCAUAAUCAAUCUUUCUUCCUCUUGAACACACAUGGUCAUGAGUUCAUUAAUUGACCAUUUAUUCUUAUGUGUGUUAUAAGAGAUCUUGAAAGGUGCAUACUGUUGUGGGAGUGUUCAAAAUAUAAUAUACAAGGAAUAAUUCAGAUAUCUCAACCUCAAGGUUCUUAAGCUAAGCUGCAAUGUUCUUCAUUUGCAUGAUGUGCUCACGCAUACCUCUAACACUAGUGAGCUUCAAUGAUGAAAACUUCAUAAUCAAGGUCAUGGCAUGCGCCUUCUCAGAACUUUCAAACUACGCAUCUAUGGCCUCCAAUAAAGCCUUAGCAUUGCUAUGCUGAGCAAUUGAACCACGAAUACUAUGAGAUAUCUUAGCUCUUAUAAACAUGGCACAAACGCGGUUAGACCGCUCCUAUUGGUUAUAAAGAGCUAUCUCAGCUGGAGUGCUCGAAUCAGUAAAAGCAGGUGGUUCGUCUUUCCUUAUAGCAUAAUCAAUGUCCAUCCACCCCAAUUGAAGAAGAACCGACUCCUUCCAAACUUUAUAGCUCUCACUAUUCAGUAUAGGAACAUCAAACUUAAAUUCAGAGAAAUUCACAGGUUGCGAAACUGCAUAUCAAAUAAUCAUGCUUAUGUCACAAAAUUUGAGGCAAAUAUAAAUAAAUCACGUUUUACCAAUGUAAACAUGUCACAAUAUGAAUCACAUAACAUAAAAACUACUUGUGGGCUAAGUUUUUAAUUUAGAUUCAUAAUUACUUCAUGAAGAAAUUACCAUAUUAUAUGCCUUUUCUUAAUCCCUAUGGGUAAAUUAAGAAAAAUAAUAUGAUAUUUCAUCCUAAUUAAUCAUAUUAAUAUAAUGAAAAUUCUUGUGGGAUAAAAUUCAUCAUAUUAAUAUAACUAAUUACAAUCAAUGUCCUUUUUUAAAUAUGAUUUGGAGGCUUUUAAUAUAGAAUUUAAUUAAUUAAAGAUGCUGUGGCCACUCCCUAAUUAAUUAAAUAUAUGGACCAUUGGACAUUUAAUUUCAUGCACAAAAUAUUCAUAAAAUACAUGAAAUGACAAAAUAGUAAAUAAAAACAUUGAAGGGCAGAAUAGUAAAUAAAUCGGCCAAGGGCACGAUUGCAAAAACUUAAAAUGAAUGGGGCAAAAAGGUAAAAGCAGCCGUGGGUGGGAGACAACAGGCGUGCCGAGCACGUGCACGUCCAGCCCUCAGGCGCGUGCCGAGCAGCGCCAGAAUCUGCGCAGGCGCGUGCUCGCACGCACGCGGUUCAACGCGCAGGCGCUUGCGUUGCACGCGCCUGGCAACUACCGCGCGCAUGGAUCCCACACACGCAAUGGUUGAGCGUGCGCAUGAGGGCGUGUGGCGCAUGGAUUCCACGCGCCUGCAACCGCAGCGCGCGAGUGGGCUCCAUGCACCUUCUUCCUUGUGCGAACAUAAGCUUUUCUUCUCCGUUUUUUGCUGUUCCGCCGCGGUUUCGCCGGCCGUUUCUUCUCCGACAGCCCAUCUCAGACACAAAUUAAUAGUGGGUUUUGAAGAGCAUGCCAACACGACCACAUGGGUUCAAGUUUCGACAAAAAUGAUGAAGAAAUAAGCCCCAAAUCAUACGAAAAUUUCCCAAAAAACACAAAUCCUCAACCACCGCGACUUCCGCCGCUCAAUUAGCCUCCAGCGAACACCGAUAUGCCGAAAUAACUCAUGACUAAUAUUCCUCAUGGCGGUGCGACCGUACGGGUCCGAAUUCGAGGGGUGGAUCGCGCGGAUUUGCCGGGAAUCAACGAAUCUUUCUUGGCCUCAAAACUUCAAGUUACUGUUCAUCCUCCAAAAAAUGGCCAAAAAUACACUGAAAACACACAAAAUACAACAAAACAAGGCAGAGGCUCUUAACAUGCUCUGAUACCAAAUGUUAGAUGUAAAAAUUCAUAUGCGGAAGCCAGGAUCAAUCGAAGACAAACCUCCAACCAUUAUUCUUGUUUGCGUUCGUCAGAAAAACCUGAAAUCAAAGAAAAUUGGGACACUCUACUACCCCAAUUCACUCUCGUACUGAUGGUGUAUUUUGAAUGAGAGAGUUUGAGUUAGACCUUGUCAUCACCCGUCAGAAAUGAAUGUACGUUCCUUUUUAUAUCCCGUCUCUCAUCAAAACGGUUACCAAAUGGGCGAUUGUCACGAAAAGGUAUGAAGCGUGGAAAAAUUUUAUGUCGAGCAGUCGCAACUUUAAAAGAAAAUGUGGGUCUAAAAUAUGGGAUCACAAAAAAUAAAUAACAUGGGUCUCGUUUCCCUGGUCCUCGAGCAUGCUUGGUUUGAACGAGCAGUCCCUUUUGUCGAGUUUGAGUGUCACUUGCUAUUCUCUUUUGAGUCUGGACACAAGCUAGAGUCUAGAAUGGGUUUACGACCUCUCCAUAAUCUGUGCUCAUCGCAUGCCUGAUAUAAUGCCUCAGUUAGUGUUAUUCUAAAAAUGAGACGAGAUUUUGUUUGUCUUCGUGAAAGCAUACCAUGGAUCUGUCUGACAUAUUUUCAUUGACUUGAGAUGUCGUAAGAAGAGCUCGACACCAAAGUAGAGGUUCAUCAGUUUGCCAUGUCACUUUUAGUCAAACGCCUAAGACUUGCUCAAUGAAAUGUUUCUAAGAGAAUUGUUUAAGAAAUGGCUUCUAUUUUUGCUCAAAUGCGAAGGUACCACUUGAUGCAGUUCGUCCGGGGUCAUUAGUUUUUAAGCUCGAUUUUCACGAGCAAUGAAGUCACUGCAUCUCUGCAUUUCGUUCGAGACAUGCUGUGUAUUUUUCAUUGAACUUGAUGAGUGGCGGCGGCGGCCUGCGUGAUGGUAGACGUUGGCAGCGAAUUUGGUUUUGCGGUGGUGAGCCAAGAUGGCUUGGUGAUGGCUGGCGACGUUGGGUGUUGUCGUCGAUCCGUUUAAAGUUCUGCCAUGGGUCCGUCCGGCGAAAUUCCAGGGUGGAGUUCAUCGGUGUGGGAGGCUUCGGUAAAGGACGUAACAGUGGAGUUGGCACGAAGAAGAAGAAGACUUUGAAAGGCUGAGAGAGAAUAAAAGAAAAUCACGAAAAUAGGCCUGGUGCAGACGUUCGUGGAAAGAGGAUGGGAAGAUGGGCUUGAGGUUUUGUUUCAGUAGAUUUAGGUUUGGUUUAAGUUGGGCGGACUUGGGCUGGGCUUAAUUUGUGAAUUUUUGGGCUGAGCUUAAAUUUUCAUGAAGUGGAUCUUUGAGAGUCCAUUACUAAAAUGGAGGUCCGUUUUAAUAGAGCCCAAUUCAUGUUCCCGGUCCAAGCCAGCAAAGCCCAUAGCAACCCAUGUUCUCACUGGACCUUGGGGCCUAGCCCGAGUCCCCAUUUUCGGAAUUAAUUUUGUAAAAAAAUUUAAGAGAAAACUUAUUUUUUUUCUAAAAAUUAGGAAAAAGCUUAAGAGUUAGUUUUUUAGUAAAUACUCUCAAAAUUUGUUAAGGUCCUUGAUAAGAAAAUCGUGCUCAAGAAUUGAAUAAAUCCUUACAGCUUUACCAUAAGAUUCUAAUUGUCCUUAAAAAUAAAGGCCCUUGAUUACGCACUUUCAAUGUUGAUUACGGACUCCCUUUAGCUUAGUUAGAGAUUGCAUGCUCCUUAUUUGGUAAUAUUAGAUCUUUGUGUUCCUAUGCAAUUUAUUUAAUGCUUUCCUUGAUUGUUGAUUGUUAUUUUAAUGAUUGCACACCCACAUGAUUAUCUCAUAUGUUAGUGGAUAGGUUUAAAAUCAAUCCAAGCUGCCUGACAAUUUUUUUUUUUUUUUGUGAAAUGAAAUAGAUUAGAUACCAAAAUGGCAUUUGAUGAAUUAGUGUAAUUAAGUUCCCAACCCUAAAUUCUCUAGUUACGUAGGAAGUAAAGCAUACUCAUAUGUUUUACUUGAUUUUUAGUCAACCCAGUAGGCUAGUAGCAACUCCUCAUUGAAAAAUUCUCAUAGCAUCAAUUUGAAUAACCAAUGUGAUGCGAUGUAUGAGUUUAGGAGAGCUCACAUCUAAAACUAGGGUCGUAGGCCUAUCUUUUAGACAAUACCCCUAAACCUAAUUUCUUUACUAUCGAAGGGUAGGUCAUGACACCUACUUCAUAAUCAUCUUUCAUCUCUGAAUGUGUGGAAUUAGAGAUGUCAUGCAUUUUUAAAUGAGACGAUCAACCGAUUUACCACUAUGAACAUAACAGUGGAAAGUUUAGAAAAUAUAUUCAUAGAAAUUCUUUUCAGCGAUACAAACGCGCUUUCGAAUAAUUGUAAUUAGCACUUACCAUAUUUUUUUUCUCAAGCUAAUGGGUACCAUUAUAUAUAAUUGAAGAGAUUGAAAUGGAUUUUCCAUGUAAUACAACCAAGUUCAUUUUAAUUGACGCAUCCAAUGACGUUUUAACUGCACAUGUUUAAUUUUUUUUAUAGUAAUAUUAUUACUGAUUACAUUUUUCAUAUUCCCCUUUCUAAAAAUUGGUUUGUUGUGUGAGCAUCUCCACACGCGAUGAUACCUUGCUUUCUAUGUCGUCAUUAAAUAUUUAGCAAUGAUUAGUCAAAUUUUUAAGCGGAAAAUCUCUUGGUCAAAGUAUCCUAAAUUAUCUCUUGCACGUAUUCCAAAACAUUUGGACAUACAUUAUGCAAAUUGAUGUAUCAACUAUAGGUCCAUUCAGCGCCAUAUACUACUAUAAAAAAAAUGAUAAUGCAUUUUGCAGUGUAACGUUUUUCAAUUUUGACAAAAAUAAAAUUGGAUAAUGAAAAGAUAAAUAACAGCACCUGAAGACUAUUAUCAUACGUCCUGACCUCCAAAAAAAUAUGGAAGUGUAUGGUGCUAAUUAACGGCAGCAUAAAUUUUAUAGAAUUUGAGGUUGCCUUUCAUGAAAAGAAAAAGAAAAAUAAGGAGUAGGUGCUUCUUGCUGCUUGGGCAAUGCAACACAUUACGGGAAAAGAAAGAGGGCCACAUGAUGAUUUCUCAGUCAGAUAUAGACCGACACAAUUGAAAUAUUAUUCUCACGGACCAAUCAAUCACUCUCCAGUACAAUAAUCUCAUCUCUUUCCCGCAGUAAGAUUGCUCGAUGAAAGAACUGAAAAAUCUUGACAAUAACGUCAUUUUAUUGAACAAAAGAUGCUGUUGCCUGCUUCAAAAUCAUCUUCCAUCUCCGAAUGUGUGGUAUUGGAAGUGUCAUAUAAGCUCAACUGAGACUACAAGGAAAAGCAAUGAGUGAAUAACUUGGAGUGCCACCAUUUUCAUUCUCUGUUGAUGGCUGCUUGAAUGUGCUCAAGACUCCUCCCUUUCGUUUUAGGAACACCAUCCCCGCGGUGUUAAUCGCUGCAUAAAGAAGGAAGGUACCUGUGAAGCAAAGCCAGCAGAGUUAUUGUCUUUUGACAAGUUUUUCGGAUGCAUAUCAACAUUUUUCUCAUGGGAAGAAUGCUCUAUUAUAUACUACCUGUCUAUUAAUCAUUUUGCAGAAAAACGCACUUUUCUUUUCUAAAUGACACUUCAAACAAAUUUCGUGAUAUUCGAAUGUAGGUAGAAGUUGCUGUAAACAUGUUGAUUGCAAUAAAUGGACUGAAUAUGCAUUCGAGAGCGUGAAGAAUGGAGUGAUAACCUAUACCUCCAAAUAGGAUUGAAGAGUUCAGGAAAAGCUAAGUCUCGAGUCUGAAGUUUGGUUGAAUCCGUGCAAAAACUCACGUUCCAAUGUGACAAAAUGUUUAUCGAGCUCAAUUUGGUUAACUCAUAAAUUUCAUGGUAAAAUUUGAUGAAAACUAACGAAGGGUAAAUGUGUUAUGUGUGUACCAGUUUGCAUUUUUGGUGAUUCAAAAACUAAUUUUCAGUAAAUUUGUCACAUAUGUACUAGUUUGUGAUUUUUCAUUGUAUUAACCCUAUGGAUUUCCAUGUAAACUUGCCAUGUUAACUGUCUAUAUCAUUCAACUCAAUAAUUUAAUGAUAAAAUUUCACGGAAUCUAAUGGAGGGUAAAUGUGUCACGUGUGUAUAUGACCCAAAAUUUAGUUAGGGAUAAAUUUGUCACGGUGUAUAAGUUUGGGGUUUUUUCAUGAUAUUAACUCCAUAACCCACCCCGUGGUGAGCAAGUUGGUUAGGGCACACACUGGCCACACGAAAGGCCAGGGUUCGAUUCCCCAACUAGUCAUGUUGCGCAACUUAAGUGGGGUGCCGUGGGUGGUGGGUCCCCGUCCUAGUGCUCCCCCGAGUUUACGUUGCUGGCUGCCAGCUGUACGGCGGUUCCUAGGUUGCCAAAAAAAAACUCCAUAUUAAAAAGAAGAAUUCGUUUUCCCAAACUCCUUUUCCAUGUGCACACUCACACAUAAUGGAGGACCAUUCUCAUGUGGAAUUUCAUGACCACUAAAGAGAUUAGGUUUGUUAAUUUUUUGCAUUUUCUACUUUUUUAGAAUUUUUUUUUGCUUUAUUUUGAUAAUAAUAAAAAUUAAAAUUUAUACUUCUCCGUUUGCAAUCUCUGAAAGAAGUGGAGAUCACGCGUUCCUUAUCAACAUUGGUGUCUCGAGGGAUGUUUGCUUAGUAGAAAAACUCUUGUGCAAGGAACAACAGUGAGGAAUGUAAUGCUUCUUCUAAAUAAUGUAAGGUACCAUCUCAUGUCAUAUCAUCGAGUGAACGCACAAGUUCUUACUGCAUUUAGGUAUUGAGCUUUUGUAAUACAUCAUAUGCUCUAACAUAACAUCACGUGUUCAAUUUCCAUUCAUCGUAAAGGCAAAAUUGUCAGCCUACUCUGUCUUUACUCUUUGACAAGUGCUGAUCACUCAUCGGUUAGGCUUGGACCCAUCCGUGACAUGAGGUCCAAGUCGGAGAUAGCUUGAGCAGGUAGCUAUCUUCAACGUAGGUGAUCAAAUAGAGGUCAAAGGGUGGGGAUGAGAGGUUUUGAUGGAAAUGAGAGAUUUGUUGCUCAAAAUGCAAACAUUGACACGAAUAAAAAAUUACCUUAUUAUACCAAGAGGAUUCACAUGAAACAAAAAUUGAAUGGAUGGCAUACAACAUUCAUCGUCAUUUAUAAAAUAUGGACAUAACUCGACCAAUAAAAAAACUAGUGCCAUAAGAAAAAUAUGUAAAAGUUUUACAAAUUACAUUUUAAAUGAUGAUACAUGUUGAUAGUACUAUUUAUAAUUUUUGCAUCUCAUUAUAAGGUAACAAUCACAAAAACAUCAUUUCGUAAACUCAUGGUUAUACUAAAAUUGGUAACCACUAGAAACUAUUGGAGUACUUGACGAAGAUGAAACUGUUUCAAGUUCUAUCUCAGCAUCAGCAUCAUCAACCGGUGCCUCCAUUGGAUACAAAAGUGUUUUUGGAGGCAGUUGCAGUCUAUCCAUAUCUCCUUCAAGCAUAUCUAGGACUUUCCUCAUCGACGGCCGAUCAUUAGGGCUCAAUUGUAUACACCACAAUGCAACGAUUAUCAUCUUCCUUGUUGUUUCUCUUUCCUCUUCUAUGACAUCUACCCUUUCAAGUUCCUUUUCUUUACCGAGUUGAUCAUAAACCCACAAAGGAAAGUAAAUUUGACUCGAACGCUCUGAUGUGCAUUUAGAUUUCUCCUUCUACUAGCCAUUUCCAUUAAUAACAUCCCAAAACUAUAAACAUCGGUUUUGUAAGAAAUGUCACCAAUGUCUUUAUAGAAUAGCUCAGGAGCCAUAUAACCCAAGGUUCCUCUUGCUGCAGUCAGCGAUAAUAUAUUGCAAUCGGUGGGAUAAAGUCUUGCAAGUCCAAAGUCAGAAACUUUCGGAGUGAAACUUUGGUCUAGGAGAAUGUUGUGAGGCUUGAUGUCAAAAUGUAGAAUUUGCAUAUCACAUCCCCCAUGUAGAUACUCUAUCCCUCUAGCUAUGCCAAGAGAGAUCUCAUACAUUUUCUUAGAAUGAUGAGGAUCAUCACCAUCCUUAUAGGAAAUGUGUUUAUCCAAAGAUCCAUUCGGCAUGAAAUCAUAGACAAGAGCUUGUUUGGAGUAAUCAAAGCAAAAACCAACAAGUUGCACCACAUUAAUGUGGUGGAUCCUUCCAAUUGUGGCCACUUCGCUUAUAAAAUCCUGGCCAUUAGAUUUUGAUUUGUUCAAAAUCUUAACUGCGACUUCAUUGCCACUUCUAAGUAUUCCUCUAUAUACAGAACUAUAUCCCCCUUCACCUAACUUGCAUUUGAAAUUUUUUGUGAUCUUCUUUAUAUCCGAGUAAGAGUACCUUAUGGGCAAAAAGUUGUUGUGAGCUAGUAGGAAUUCUUUGAUAUUUGCAUCGGCCGCCUAAUGCCUUCUCAUCCACUUCAAGAUUAGAAGUAUCAACACACACGGAGCUCCAAAUAUGAAUUUUGCUGCUAGGAAGUGGACUACAGAGAAAUUUGGCCAUUGAUUAGCAUAGUGUCAAAAAAGAAAAAAUUUACACAUACAAUUUUUGUUUGUCAAAGUGCUGAAUGAGAGCUUCAUAGGUGUGAAGAGAAAAAGGACUUAUCAUACCCAAGAAAAAGAAGAGAUUCACUACUGCAACAGGCACAAGACAGAGCGCAAAAAGGCGCAUGCCAUCACCUGUAGAUAGUAAGAGAAUUCGUGAGAAAUUACUAAAAAUGGUUAAUUAGAAUUAAAGACCAAUCAGUGAAGAAGCAAUUCAUGCUAAGAUAUACCCCUAGUGAAAGAUAAAUUCAUGCAAUCACUGCAAAGUGCAAAGCCACACUUUUGUUCAUUGAAAUUUGCAAGUGGAGAACUCUAGAAUAAAAAAAGAGUGAACGAGUCUUUUCUAGAUAGCGCCCAGAUUUGACGUUAUCCUAUUCACUCAUGAAAUCCAUGUUAAUGUUGCAUGAUCUUUUCUUUUGAAGAAACACGCUUUUGCUUUUGUUCUCUUAAAUGUACCAAAUGUUCACAAGUUCCCCGUAACAUUAACAGCAAUUGAAGGGACAUGAGAUAUUAUUAAAUCGAACAAUUUUCCCCAAAAAAAGACCUAAUUCCCUGAAAAACCCUUUAAUUCUAGUCCAAUUUCAGCUUGAACUUUUUUGUCUCAGAAAAAACCCUAAACUUUAGGUACAAUCCCAAAUUUACCUCAAAUUUUGUUUUGUUUUAAAAAAUCAGUAACUUUUAAUAUAUUCCCAAACUUACCCCCACGGUCGGGUCCCAACUUGAUGUGGCAUUUCCACAUCAAUAACAAAUCCACUUCAGUAAGGUGACAUGGAAAAUUACUUUCAAAUGAAGCUAUUCUAAGAUAUGAAAUUUUUGAACAGAGGGCUAAUGGGUAGAUUGGGAUUAGAGUAAAAAUUGGUGUUUUUUCUUUUAGACAAAAUAAGUUUGAGGUAGAUUUGGGAUUAGGCCUAAAGAUUGAGGUUUUUUCUGGACAAAGAAAAGAUUGAGGCAAAUUUGGACUGGACCUAAGUUUAGGUUUUUCUGAUAAAAAAAAGUUCGAAACAUAAUCGGGACUAAAUUUAAAGUUGGGUUUUUUUUAGUGAAUAACGCCCAAAAAAAAAAAAUACAGAAAUAGUGUCACUUCCAGAAAAGCUCCAUAGUUGUAAAAUAAAGGAGCAAUGCACGCCCAAUCUACUAAAAAAAUUUCUAAACUUUUUCACUGAACGAAUGUGGCAAUUUUUUAAAUUGGGUAUUAAAGAAAAGUGAUGACUCAAUAAAUUGAACCAAACGUAUUGCAAUAUCCAAUUGAAACAUGUCACAUCACCAAGUAAAUUUUGAAAAGAUCCUUCAGUAGAGUUAACAUUUAAGAAAAGGAUGAAGAUAAAGAUGAAGAAGAAGAAACAAAGUAAGAGAGUAAAGAAGGAAAAGCUUUAGGGAAAGUCAGCUUACAGGAGUCAUAUGGGUUGCACCGCGCCAUUCGGUAUCUGAAACCUAUCGCGCAAAUCUGGAAUAUUUCCAACGAAUAAGAUUCAGAAUAUAAGAGAUUGAAUCCUUCAGCCAUCAUGUUGUGGAGGUCCGUAUACGGUGGGCUCACACGUUUAUACCGAUCCACUUCCUGGCUUGAUAAGAGAGUGAUCAUGGUUAUGUUGCAAGAAUCCUUGAUGUCCCGUAUUAGUAGAUCAGACCCAUACAAAGCGUAUGAGUAUGCCUUCAUUUGGGAAAAAUUAGGGGGUGUAUCAGAAAGGGAUGCUUCCUCAAUACAUGGUUCAGUAUUGAUAUACAAAGCAGAAGCAACGGGCUGUGAGCACUUCAUGAAGACCACCGGAUCAGCCGAGGGAAAAAGACCACCACAGUAUGGAUCAUGAGCACUAAAGUUGGACCUCGCCAGUGAUUGACGAGGGAGGGAUGAGCAAUUACCUUUCUGCAAUCCAUCGUCAACCACCGUGAUUAUACCGAAAAAUGAAUCAGCUAAAUUAGAAUAGUUAAUUGACUUCACAUAAUAUUGACCGGCAUAUAGAUAUAGAAAAGUACGAUUAUUUUCACAAACUAGCUCAUACUCAUAGCAGCCACAGUAUUUUGGGUCGCUUUUCAAUCGAAAGGGAUAGUGUAUAUCAUGGAUCUCACCGCAAGAUGAAGUAGUGCACAAGUGAUUCUUCUUCGCACCGCAACUCAUCCUCAGUAACAGUAGGACAUGCAAUAUGAAAAGCAAAACACAGAACAUGCUUGUGGAGCUCAAAGACUUAAUGGUCUCUCUAUCGUUUGAUCUGAUGCAAUGGAAGUUUUUGCUAAUUGGCAAUGUGAAGGAGGCCCAGUUAUAUGAAUGAAAAGAGUCGGGAGUCAUCGGUGAUGCAAAUUUCCAAGUCAACCAAUAAAACAAAGUCUAGCGAAGAUUGCGGCCCUUGCAUUUAUGGUGACAAAACACAAAGUUGGAAUUAGUUAUGCAUAGCUUUCACAUUGAUUAAAAAAGAAAGUUCUCUGCAGUUUUCAUACUGACUUUUCUUAGUACUAUUAAAAGAGAAUCGAUUUUAAACCAGAGAGAGAGAGAGAGAGAGAGAGAGAGAGAGAGAGAGAGAGAGAGAGAGAGAGAGAGAAUCGAUUUGUAUGUCAUGUACUCUAGAAUGAACAAAAUCCAUUUGAGUGAGGCUUUGGCAUUCUAGUUUCUUUUCAAGGCUAAUAUCCCAUAAGUGUUGUUGCGACCAAAAUUUCGGGUGAACCACCUAGGUUUGGCUAAUGGAUUGUCAAGCCUAGAUUUUGCUCAGACUCUCCCAAACCCAUUAUCAAUUCAUGACUUAGGUUCAAGUUUCUUAACAUGUAAAAGAUUUUUUAAUCAAGAGUCGCCACUAAUCUAUUUUCGGUGGGUCGAUUAGAAACUCAAGUAAAGUAACAUGAGAUUUACUUUACUCAUACAAACUAAAGAUUUAUAAAUUUUGGGACUUGUUUAUGCUAGAUUUCUCUAACGCCCUUUUGGUAGCUUUCUCUUUUGUUUUGAAAAAAAUGUUUUGAUUUUAACCUACUCCCCUAAACAUGUGAGAUGAUUAUACGGGUGUACAAACCACCAAUUUAACACCCAGAUAAAGUAGUGAAUAAAUUAUCCAGAUAAAGCAGUGAAUAAAUUGCAAGACUUUAUCUCAUGGCAACGAAAACAUCUGCAAUGUUAGAUCAGAAUUCACAUCAACAAUCCUAGAUAUGAUUUCUAAUAAACACGCAAUUACAUUUUUUUUUGUUUUAUUUUCACUGAAGAUCAUGCUUUAUGUAAUGCAUGCCACUAAUCUAACAUGAAAUGAUAUCACAAGAUGACCUAAUUCUAAUGACGAACAAUUCCUAAUUAAAUUGACCUAGCAAUAAACACUAAAUGACGUACAUUUCAUGAACCUAAAUGACACGCGCAUGAUUUUUUGUAUUUUUUUUAUAAAAAUUCAUAAUUAAAAUUGCUAAAAAAUGUUUUAAAAGAAUCUAACUAAAGUGAGAUAUUAUCUAUUUUAAGUUAGGAAAUAGACCAAUAUGAAUCAUAUCUUAACUUAGAAAAAUUUUUACGACAUGCAAUUUAAUUCAAAGAUAUUAUCUAACCUAGAUACCAUCUAAGCUUGCAUUCUAAUAUAAUCAAAAAGGAAUCUAACUAUUAUAUCAUGCAACUAUAUCUAGAAAAUCAAUUCUAAUCUACAUGAUAUGCAAAUGCAAUUUUUUUUUUGUAUUUUUGGGAUAAAUAAAGCGAUUAAAAGAUAAGCAAAUCAUUCACGAUCAUCAAAGAUAUUAUCCAUCGUUCGAAUUUGGAAACGAUAUCUAAUCAAACUUAAUUAUUUUGCUAAUAAAAUCGAUAAAUUGAUCUUAAGCCUUAAAGAUCAAAAUAUCAAUUUCAUUCCCGUUUGAUUAAUUAUUCCAACUAUAAGGCUUUAGAUGGAAUAAAAAUUUGGCAUGCAAUUGCGAAUUAGGCAAUAAACCAUAAUUGAGGGGAUAUGCUUAUCGCUGAAAUAUAUAUUAGGUAAUAAAAUAUCCAAAUCAAAUUUAUAUAAGAUAAUUACCUAAUUUCGCAAGUAAUAUUGCCAAACUUGAACUAAAUGGGAUCGACUCAAGGAUAAUGGUUGGUGGGUGAGAUUCGGCGCAAUGGUGCUCCUCGGUAAAGGAUGAUCGUGGGCUCACGGUCAACGAACCUGCAAAAAUAGGAACUUCGUGGAUCGGCGAUUGUGGGCAAUUGGCAACGACAGGCUCGUGGCCGCUUGAAUCAGGAACGUUGUAUGGGAUGACUUGUAGGCGAGGCAGAACAGGUGGCCUUUGAUGAUGAGUGAACGCGUCGAAUUGCGGGUUGAUCCUUUUUGCCCACACGACUGAAUUUGGAGUUCAAACUUCGCCACGUUGGCUCUGACAUCUUUUGCAAGUCAAAGUGCAUGGAUCUUCUUCAUGCAGCAAGCGGAAUUGCCUUCUUUGACUGGAUAAUAUUCAACGUGAAUACUUCGGCAAAAGAACCUCUCCUNNNNNNNNNNNNNNNNNNNNNNNNNNNNNNNNNNNNNNNNNNNNNNNNNNNNNNNNNNNNNNNNNNNNNNNNNNNNNNNNNNNNNNNNNNNNNNNNNNNNNNNNNNNNNNNNNNNNNNNNNNNNNNNNNNNNNNNNNNNNNNNNNNNNNNGGAGCAGCGACGUCCAUGGGCGGUGGGAUUGCAACAUCGUCAAGGGUCAGCAUCGAGCAAGCAGGGGCAAAUCAGAACAACUUGUCCUUCGGAAGCUGCAGCUCGUCACGAGGCUACUGGUGGUGUCAAUGGGCUUGGCGAACCUGGCUUUUCAUAUGGGACUCCUCAAUCGGCAAUAGGAGGCGUUGCGAUUCCUGGUGCUGUGAAGAAUCGGCAAGUGGGUCAACUUCGCGAGUAUGUGGGGCCCUCUUCCAACCGUGGACUAAGUGUGGCCUUUUUAGCCUCUUUAUUCACUCUCACCUUCACGAGCACUCUGUACAGAAGCUUCCCCUCACGAUUUUUCCCUCAAUUCAGUGUAUGGCCAUGUCUUCAAUUGUGUGUGGCCCCCUCGCUAUCGUGUUUUCUCCCUCCAAAAAAAAAAAAAAAACCGAGAAAAGCCCCUUCUACCAAGUGAUGAAAAGAGAAGCCCCUUUUUUGUCUGUAUGCGGGCCAAUUUAUAAGCGAGGGACUGAAGCUUUUAUCAACAUACCCAAAGAUCUCAUCCUGCCGAUUUUAUCACAUAUUGCUAAAGAUUCAAGAUUGAAAUAUGAUUUUUCUCAAAUUUCAAAUCUUGCAAAGAUGAGCUCAUGAUAUCUCCUCAAGGAUAUUGAAAAAUCCACUGUCAUAUCACCGAAAGUAUCAAAUCUCAAUUUCUCACAAAAUAAUUUUCGGUCAUAAAAUAAAAAGGGGCUCGGGCUAAUUUGCUCUUUUCGUGGGCUUAGUCCUACUCGUCAAAUUAAAGCUCAAAACUACCAAUUCAAACCCAUUUGUCACCAGUCCGAUACAAAUAAAAAAAAUAUCCUAAAACUAUAUACUAUGCAAUUUAAUUAUAAUAUUUUUUUAGGGAUAAAAUUAAUCCCUAUUUUUUAUAUAAUAAAUAAAUGACUGGGUCGUUAAAAUUUAGGUUUUAACAAGUGUCCCUUCGUUAAACUGUGAAGAUGAAAAGGAAAAAGAUGUCAUAUUUCAUCAUCUAAGCUUUUUAUUUUUGACAAAAAAACAGAAAUUGGUAACAAAAAUAGACUAUGAACAAGAAUAUUAACUUGUAUAAUGUCGCUUUUGGCAAAAGUAAAAGGAAAAUAAGAAAUAAGUGCUUCUUGGAUGGUGUAACACAUUAUGAAAGAAAGAAAGCAAUAUGAUAAUUUGUAGUGGCGUACCGACAUGCCUUGACUAGAACCUCACUGGCUUCGUCAUCUCGCAAACAGUAUAGAUGCAGAUUUCCAAGUCAACCAUCAACACAAAGUCUAGUGAAGAAAAAGUGGGUCUCCCGUGGAAAUUGCAGCCCUUGAAGUCAAGGUGACAAGACACGGUGUUGGAAUUAUUUAUGCAUAACUUUCACGUUGAUUAAAAAAUAAACUUCUUUGCAGUUCCAGAUUGACUUUUCUUAGUCCCAUAAAAAAAGAAUCGAUUCAUUCAGCACCAUAUUUUACUAUAAAAAAUGAUAAGCGCCAUAUUUUACUAUAAAAAAUGAUAAUGUAUUUCACAGUUAAGAUUUUUCAUUUUUGACAAAAAUGAAGUUUGUAACUGAAAAGAUUAAUAAUAGCACUGAAGACUAUCGUUGCACAUUAUGAGAAAAGAAUAUAGGCCAUACAAUAAUUUCUCAACCAACAAUAGAUGGAUGCGAGCCUUGAUUUGAAAGUCACUUGCUUUGUCAUUGCCCGACGCACAUGAAGACUAUAGGUGUAAUGUUCGAAUUCACAAAAAUAAAGCAAUACACGCUUUUUCACUAGCAAUUGAAAUAUUAUUCUCAUAGAUCAAUCGAUCACUCUCCUAUAAAAUAACCCUAUCUCUUUCCUGCAAUAAAACCACUCCAUGAAUGAACUGAUAAAUCUCAACAAUAACGUCGUUUUAUGAAGGAUGUUGUUGCCUGCUUCAUAAUCAUUUUCCAUCUUCGAAUGUCUGGUAUUGCGAGUGUCAUGUAAGCUCAAAUGGGACUACAUGGAAGAGUGCAGGCAUUUUUCAUUCUUUGUUGAUAGCUGCUUGAAUCUGCUCAAGACUCCUCCCUUUCGUUUCAGGGACCACCGUGAUCAUGAACACCAUCCCUGCGGCGUUAAUCACUGCAUAAAGAAGGAAGGUACCUGUGAAGCAAGCCGGCAGAGUUGCUUUUGACAAGUUUUGCGGAAGCAUAUUCUUACAUUUUUCUCAUGGGAAGAAUGCUUUGAUAUAUACUACCUGUCUAUUAAUCAUUCUGCAGAAAGACCCAAUUCACUUAUUUUCUUUUCUAAAUCACACGUGGACUCAAUUUUCGUGAUAUUCGAAUCUAGUUUCUUUUCUAAACACAUUGAUUGAAAUAAAUGGACUGAAUAUGCAUUCGAGACCGUGCAGAACAGAGUGGCAGACACCUCCAGCUCCAAAUAGGAUUGAAGUUUUCAGGAAAAGCUAAGUCUCAAGUCUAUAGUUUGAUUGAAUUCUCGCAACAACUCAUGUUCCAAUGUGACAAAUGUUUAUCGAGCUCCUGCCAGAGCAACAGUUCAAAGAGCGUUUUCAGCAGAGUCGUACCAUAGGAGCUCCAGCUCAUUAAGUAGUUGAAAGUGUAGGAAACUGCCCAAGCGCCGCACCAGUUUACUAGUGUUGCAAACCCUCCAGCUACUCCUUUGAUAUUGAUGGGGAAAAUCUGAACACCAGCACCACAUUACAUGAUUGGAAAAUUUUUUAAACACUCGUAACAACACCAGUUACGGAAACGGCCCUUUAAUUUGAUAAGCAUGAAACUUCGGGGGAUGUUUAGGAUUACCUCGGACAUCACGACCCAAGGAACCGCGCCCAUUCCAGCGGAAAAUGCUGCUAUGUAUAGCUGAGCAUUGGAAAAAACAGAACAGAAAAAUUAAUAGUGGAGAGUUGUUGUGGCGGCCAACCAGAUAGAGCCAGAAAGAGAUCAAGGAAGGUGAGAUUAUUACCAGAAUGCCGGUGACGGCAAGUAUCGGGACAGCAUCAGCUGCCAGAUCAUGAACCUGGCUCAGAAGAUUCUCAAAAAGUUACUGGUUGACAAGCAUUGCAAAGCAGAAGGAAGAUACUAGGACGGAUAGUAUUUACCUUUAGAAAGAAUGAAAGGGCAGUUACUAUGCAUCCUAGGACCAAUCCUGUCCCUGAGAUCUGCGAUUGAGAGAGAGAGAGAGAGAGAGAGAGAGAGAGAAGGUUACUGUUCAAGUUGCAGAACUCGCGAAAGGUUAUGAUUUCUUAGCGACUUUCAUCUAUUUUACCAAGAGAAGGGGCUUUCUUCCAGCUCGAUCGACCAGCGCAGCGCCAAUAGCCGUGACAAUGACCUGCAAAAAUUUACUCUUUAAGCGUGACGAGUGUAAAACUAGAUCCCCAGCAAAGAGGAAAGGGCGAGAAUUACAGACCUGGAGGAUUGCAUAGGUUAUGGUUCCAACGCUAGAGGAGAAACCUGAGGAGAGUGUACAAAUGCGAUUAUAAAGGCGAGACUAAUACCUUGCUUGUGAGAUUCAACCCUAAAUUAUGUGUACAGCUCAUUCAGUGACAAUUAAGUAGACCAAAAGCAUUCGACAUUGCGAAUUUUACUAACCCAUUUGAAUAUUAACUGGAUUAUAUAAAUUGGAACCCCUGCUUUGCUCUUUAUUUAGUUAUCCGUUCUGGAAUCAUAAAAUGCAAUGCAUAGUUUCAUUUCUGUGGUGCCCAAGAGCUUCUUGCUAUGACCUUCAUACCUGCUUCCUCGANNNNNNNNNNNNNNNNNNNNNNNNNNNNNNNNNNNNNNNNNNNNNNNNNNNNNNNNNNNNNNNNNNNNNNNNNNNNNNNNNNNNNNNNNNNNNNNNNNNNNNNNNNNNNNNNNNNNNNNNNNNNNNNNNNNNNAGUACAACUACUUAAAGUCUCCCGAUCCACAGGGCAUUCUAAGAAAGCAAGGAAGGAGGGAAUUUAUUGGAUACAUAGCAAUAAAUACAGAAAGAAGAUUACGAUGACGGAGCUCAGAUAUCUUCUCUGAAAUAAAUCAAGCACGGUGGCUUUUGGGAGCCGUUGGAGAGUUUCGAUAUACUCCUGUCAAGAAAAACAAAUUCAAUCAUUCCAUCAGCUGUUCGUACUUAUAAAGUUGAGCUUUAAGAUGAAACAGGUAUAGACUUAAAGCCUUUUACUUGUAUUUCAGCAGCCUCUUCAGAAAUAUCUGCAUCCUUUCCACGGAGUUUCUGCAGCACAGCUUCAAACUACUUUUCGUGGCCCAUUUUCGCCUGCAUUUGGCAGAAUCCUAAAAUUCAUUCCAACACUACAAAUCCCUCUCUUCCAACAAUUCAGAUAAGAAGAGUCUGGUGUUCAUCUUGAUUUGUUACCAGCCAUCUAGGAGACUCUGGAAUGAAAAACAGGCCAAACAGUAGGACUGCACAGGGGACUAGACCUGCAUAAACCGCAGACGUUCAAGGUGGUUUCAGACUUGGACUUUUCGAUGCAAGAUUGGCACUAAACUUGAAUUAUGCUACUUUUUUCUGUUUUACCAAUUAAUGCCAAAACCCUCCAAGCUAAUACUGUCCCGAUUAUGAAGGAAACGGACACUCCAGCAACGAUCAUAAGCUGUGGAGAGAAGAGAACAUGUUAGGCCUAGUAGGUUCUGUAGGAUGUACAUAUAUACACCAUCUUGCACUUGCAAAAGGGAAAAAUUUGCUACAAGCACGCGCUUGGCAGGUGCCGGCUGACGUCUGCGUGACGUUAGCCCGUGCACGCGCGCGGCACGUGCCGUCAAUUCGCUCGAGCCGGCCCCUCCGGCCCAACCGGUUUGACCGGUCCGACCAGUCUGUCCGGUCCGACCGGUACGACGACCAACGACCGUUGACCGUUGACGACCGUUGACCGUUGACCAAAAAAAAAAAAGAGGAAUGUGUUUCUUUUUUCAAUUAAGUCUAUGUGGAUUAUAAUGUGAUCCCUUAUUUGUUCUGCAUUUGUUGCAGGAACAAUGCCUCCCCUGAGGUUGCACACACCUAUUCGCACAAUUACCGAUGAACAAAAGGAUAUGGUGUCUAAGUUGAUAGCUGAACUGACUGAUCAUCGAUGGGAGAGAGGUGACUUAAUUGAUCAUGUCCUUGAAGUCAACGGGAAAAUUCAACAGGUCAUAUGGAAUGGUCGUCCUAUGUCACAGUCAGAGAUGGUGCGAUUUUUCAUAAACACUCUUCCACCUGAAUGGCAAGAUGUGUUGAAUCGCAUAUGGGAUGUCAAUGGAGCUGCUUCCUAUAAGAAAAUUGUGAUGGACUUUGUAAAUGAAUAUUACUGUAUUGUUACAAGGGAAAAGAUCAAGAAAUUGAACAAAAGAGGAUCUUUCCCAGUUCGUGUGCUGACUUGGUGUUAGUUGUAUUGACUGAUAUAUGUUAAGUGUGAUUUGUGGACAUAUUAUGUAAUGAUUACUACCUAAUUGUGUUAAUUUAAAGCAUUAUUGUUUUUUUAAUUGUAUGUCAAUUAUCUGUUGCUUUCUGUUAUUGCUGGUUGCUGUGGGUAAUUAGCUGUGGGUAGUUUUAGAAGUUUUUGUAGCUUCAUAGAAUUGAUUUUGCAUAUGACAAUCAUAUUAAUGAUAGUUUUAAGUUAGGAUUUUGGAGGAUGAUUGGAAACAUAGUGACCUUUUGAUUCUAAAGCCUUACUUGAAAUUAUUCAUUGAUAUGAUGGGUCUAUGUAAAUAGGGAUACAUAAAUGAUAGGCAUUAAUAAUUCGUGCAUAUUUGUCUGAUUUGUUCAGAUCAAUGGCUUCGGCCACAAAGAGCAUAGUUGCCGAGCUGAACAAAGGUGAAAAGCUCAAUGGAGACAACUAUGAAAUUUGGCAAAUGAAAAUCCAGUAUGUGCUGGAAGAACAAGAAGCACUUGAGGCUCUUAUCCUGACCAUGGUAGAACCUGAAGAGGGAACCACUGCAUAGCACAAAAGAGACAAAGAAGCUUUUUCUGCGUGGAAAAGAAAGAACUCUCUAGCUUGCAUCACGUUGCUGAGCAGCAUGGAAAAUGACGUCAUGCGAGAGUUUCGGCGUUUUGACAAUGCCAAGGAAAUGUGGGAGGCAUUGGCAGCUAGAUUUGGUCAUACUUCGGUGACUAGACUGAGGCAGCUCACUAUCAGGUUUGACUCUUAUAAGAAGCCUCAUGGUCAGACCAUGAAGCAACAUCUUAGAAAGAUGUCAAACAUGAUAACUGAGCUGAAAGAUGCUGGCCAUGUCCUCACAGAUGAGCAGCAAGUGCAAGCAGUGAUUCGUUCCUUGCCUCAGAGUUGGGAGCAUAUGAAGGUGCACCUGACUCAUAAUGAAAAUAUCAAAACCUUUGAGGAUGCAAUGCGUCAUCUUGAGCUAGAAGAGGACUGCCUCUUGGCGGCUAAGCCGGAUGCUGAACUUUAUCAUGCUAGUUCUAGCUCACAUGGAGUUUCGAGCUCCAAACGCAAGCGUCCUAACUAGUUUGAUAAAGGGAAAGGCAAGGAAGAAGCAGGUCCUUCAGGGAAGAAACCCAAGUUUAACCAACAUGAUAGAGGAAAGCGUCCUCGCAUGAAGAAGCUUACAAGGGUGAAAUGCUACAAUUGUGACAAGAAGGGUCACUAUGCUCGCGACUGUCGUGAGCCAAAGAAGGUAUGCACCCCUUGUACUUUUCAGAACUUUGCUUUUGUGUCGAGUUCUGUGUUCUUAACUGAGUCUAAUCCUUUGUGGACUGUGGAUUUAGGAGCGACGGACCAUGUAGCGAAGGAUAGAUGAUCCUUCGUGGAAUUCCGACGAGUACCAACUGGAACUAAGUGGAUCUAUGUGGGAAAUAACUCCAGAGCUGAAGUGAAAGGAAUUGGCACAUGCCAAUUGAAUAUGCGUGGUGGACGCACUUUGUUCCUUCAUGAUGUGUUGUAUGCUCCGGAGAUUUGUCAGAAUUUAAUGUCUGUAUUAGUGUUGGUUAAAUUAGGUUUUAAUAUGAACUUCUAUAGUAGAGGUGUGAAUUUGUUUUUGGAUACAAAUUACUAUGCUUGUGGUUAUUUUCUGGAUGGUUUCAUUGUAUUAGAUGUUGAGUAUGUUAAUGCAAAUGUUUGUUAUUCCCUUAUCACGUCUCCUAAUUCAUAUGAUAAUGAUGUGAAUGUGUGGCAUGCUAGACUUGGUCACAUUGGCCAACAGCGUAUGAAUAGACUAGCCAAAGAGGGCUUGUUGGGCAAUAUUGAAAAAGUCGAUUUGUCCAUAUGUAAGCAUUGCAUAGAAGGGAAAACGACAAGGAAACCAUUUGGAAAAGGAAAAAGAGCUGAAUUUCCUCUGCAUUUAAUCCAUUCUGAUGUCUGUGGUCCAAUGAAUGUGAAAGGAAGGCAUGGGGCUGUUUAUUUUAUCACCUUUAUAGACGAUUAUACUCGAUUCGGAUAUGUCUAUUUGAUUUCUCAUAAAUCUGAAGAAAUAAGUUGUUUCAAAAGGUUUAUGAACCUAGUAGAGAAUCAAUUGGACAAGAAAAUAAAAGCAUUGAGAUCCGAUCGAGAUCGAGAAUAUUUAUCUAAUGAGUUCAGAAAAUUAUGUGAUGAAAAAGGAAUAGAAAGACAGUUGUCUAUUCCGUAUACUCCUCAACAAAAUGGUGUUGCGGAAAGAAGAAACAGAACCCUACUGGAAAUGGUUAGGUCCAUGAUGGCGCAUGCUAACUUACCCAUCACCUUUUGGAGUGAUGCAUUGUUAACCACUGCCUAUAUACUUAACCGGGUGCCUUCCAAAUCAGUUACUUCCACUCCAUAUGAGUUAUGGAUAGGUAGAAAACCAGACUUAAGUUUUCUUAAGCCAUGGGGUUGUGCUGCCUAUACCCAUGAGUCUUCUCACAAGUUUGGGAAAUUGGGUCCCAGAGGAAAGAAGAUUAUUUUCAUAAGAUACUCGGAACACUCGAAAGGAUAUGUGUUCAUUGGUGAGCAGGAAAGUGGGAGUAUAACUGAAUUUGAAUCACGAGAUGUCACAUUCUUAGAGGAUGAGUUUCCUAAGAAGGGCGGAAUAGGGGAAGAUCACUCCCUAUUUGAGACCUUGGAUCAAGAUAAUGAUAUUAGUGGAGUUCAUCCAAGUGGGAGCAUAAUAGGGAAUAAUGUGCAAAGUGUACAAUCUCCUAUACGGCGAACAAGUCGCCAAAGUAUUCCCCGUCGACAUUUUGACAUUGAAGGGGAAACUUUUAUGGUUGCUCCACAAGAUGAGGAUGAGCCAAGAAAUAUCAAUGAGGCUUUGAAUUGCCCUAGUAAGAAAAAAUGGAUUCAUGCAAUGGAAGAUGAAAUGGAGUCAAUGAAAUCAAAUCAAGUCUGGGAACUGGUUGAUCUUCCAAAAGGACGCAGAGCUAUUGGGAACAAGUGGGUCCUCAAAAUAAAGCGAAAGGCUGAUGGCUCGAUAGAAAGGCAUAAGGCUCGCCUUGUGGCAAAGGGGUAUAAUCAACAGGAAUGAAUUGAUUAUGAAGAUACGUUUUCUCCUGUAGUAAGAUUUACCUCGAUUCGCAUUAUUCUGGCAAUAGUGACUAGUCUGGAUCUUGAGUUACAUUAGAUGGAUGUAAAGACUACUUUCCUCAAUGGAGAAUUAUAGGAAAAAAUAUAUAUGGAACAACCUGCUGGUUUCAUAGUGAAAGGCCAAGAAGAAAAAGUAUGUCGACUUUUGAGGUCGAUAUAUGGUCUUAAGUAGUCAUCAAGACAAUGGUAUAUACGUUUCAUAAUGCCAUAAUGGCAUAUGAUUUUAAAAUGAUUGAUGAGAAUCAUUGUGUAUAUAUCAAAAGAUCCAAGGAUCAAUUUGUGAUCAUAUCAUUGUAUGUUGAUGAUAUACUGAUUGCCGGAAGCAAUAUGGAGUUGGUUAAUACUGUCAAGAGUUGGUUGUCUUCCAACUUUGAGAUGAAGGAUAUGGGUGAGGCUGUAUACAUUCUUGGAGUUAAGAUUUCAAGAGAUCGUUCGAAGAGAUCGUUGUCUCUUUCGCAAGAAACCUAUAUAAAUAAGGUUCUUAAACGAUUUCGUAUGCAAGACUGUAAACCCAUAGACACUCUUAUUGCAAAAGGUGAAGGAUUGAGCCACAGAUUGUGUCCAGGGACUCCACAAGAGAAGGAACAAAUGAAACAUGUUCCUUAUGCUAGUGCUGUUGGGAGCUUGAUGUACGCUAUGAUGUGUACAAGACUCAACAUAUGUUUUGCAGUUGGAAUGGUGAGUAGAUACCAAUCCAAUCCAGGUCCAGCACAUUAGAAGGCCGUCAAGAGAAUACUGAGGUAUUUGAAGGGAACUGCUGAUUUCAAGUUGAAUUACCAAGGAAAGGAUCUGCGACUUGAAGGCUAUUCAGAUGCUGAUUGGGGAGGAGAUUUAGAUGAAAGGAAAUCUACCUCUGGAUUUGCUUUCUUACUGAACAAUGGCGCCAUAUCAUGGAGCAGUAAGAAGCAAACGUGUAUAGCCUUGUCCACGAUGGAAGCUGAGUUCGUGGCAUUAUCAGCAGCAGUACAAGAAGGAGUUUGGCUUAAGAGAUUUUUGGAUCAUUUAGGUGUUAAUGAGAAAGCUGCAAAUCCAUUGUUGGUUAACUGUGAUAGCCAAGCAGCUAUAGCGUACACCAAAGAUCCAAAGUAUUAUGGCAAGACCAAACAUAUAGAUACCAAGUAUAACUUUGUGAAAGAUAUGAUUGCACGAAAGGAUGUGAACUUACAGUACAUAUCUACGCAUAGAAUGGUAGCAGAUCCUAUGACAAAGCCAAUACCUAGAGAUGUGUUUUGUGGUCAUGUAAAAUCUCUAGGAUUGCGUAGAAUCUGAUGUACUGGAUUGUAAUUUCCCUGAGUUGUUCACAUUUAUGAAAUUUUGUUUUUUUAUUGAUUAAUGCCUAUGAAUCUAUGUAUGAUCUUUAUGCAUCUUAAUGCUCAGUGCAUUAUUUUAAGUUGAGAAGUAUGUCGGACAGAUAUAAGAUUAGCCCACUCACACGGGUAAUCGCCUCCGUUUACUAUGUGAUAAAUAGAGAUGAGACUGUUUUUAAGCUUAUUAUCUAGGUGAUAAUCGAGAGCUCAAGCUUAAAAUACGUAUGUCACCUUAAUUGAGUGUUAAGAUGAUGACAUAAUACUAAAGAUGUCCGAAAGUAAAAUAGCCUACAUAUUUUACUUUAUCUGUCUAUGAUGCUAGAUGUGAGUUCUGAUGAAUUUUGUGAUUGAGUAGAUACUUGAACUCAAGUUAGACAUUAGGUAUGUCUGAACUAUCAUCUGUAUGGUAUUGACAGGUGUAGACAUACGCUCCAUGGGAAAUGAGUUAAUACCGUAAUACGUAUUUCAUACUACGUAUGCAUGAGACGACCAAUAAGAGUGGCAAAAAGUUUGAUCUCAACUUUUAUGACGUGUGAGACUCUUGAGGAAAAGAGUUCCUCAAUUUUUAGUCCCCUCAGGACUCUUACUUAUUCUCAAGAUUUCUAUUUAGUGUUUACUAUCUUAGGGUGUUGCCAAUGGUCAUGAGAUGAUUCGAUCUAAUGGGGCAUUUCUAGAAAAGCAAGCUGGACUGAAAUUGAGAGUUUAAAGGAAAGAGGAAGAUCGUUUUUGGAUAAUCACAUUGUGGUUUUGUAUUCACUGGUCGACCAAUUAUGACUGUCAUUGUGAUAAUUAUAAUUGUGAAUACAAUAUAUAUAUAUAUAUAUAUAUAUAUAUAUAUAUCAUGUUUAAAAGAGAUCAAGAGAGAUAUAAAAUGUGAUCGAUCGAUCUAGGGUACUGCAUACUAAAUCUACUCGAAGUAUGACACCCAUUAUGAGCUGCUAUAUAUUCCUAACAGAUGUAUAGAAACGAGCUCUCAAAGUAUGCUGGUCGCACGGAUUAUUCACCAGUAUGAAUGUUGAAGAGAGGUAAAGAGAAUCCUGUUCAGCCCACCAUGUGCGAGUGGGAGAUGAUGGUUUUAAUUGGUGAUGGGCUUAAGGCCCGUCCGCCCAUGCUGGGCUCAAAAGGCCCGGCCCAUGGGAAUAGGGCCCGUGGAAAGGGAGAUGUAUAAAAGGGAGGAGAGAGAGAGAAAUAAAGAAAAAGUUGGAAAUAACGUACGUACGCUUUCUCUUAUGUGCUCUCUCUCUCUCUCCAAAAAGAAAAGGAAACAGUAACGCACAAGGCGAAUUUUCUCCUUUCUUCCAAGUGAAUUGUCGUCGUCGGAUUGAACAGGGCCAGUUUCUCUUCCUCUAUUGGCGUUGGUGUUUGAUCUGUGGCUAACAAGGUACGCUCGAAUCCGUGGUGUGCUUUACGAUCGGUGAUAUGUGUUAUUCCCAGGCUUCGUCUUCCGCAUUGAUUUAGGAGUUCGAUUUGGUGUCGAAUCCGGUUUUUGGGGAUCCGUUAUUCCCUACACCUUCUUUAUACAAGAAUUCUGGUGAUGACAGAAUAUCUCUUUCAGAUGUGGGGGUGCCCAGGCAGGAAUGUUUCCUGGACAGAAUGACUUUAGUUUGGCCAAGUUCUUGGGUUUCGAGUUAUUUCAGUCAGGCUUUUGGGGUCUAGAAUUGGGUUUAAGGGGGAAAAGUGCUGGUGAUAUCUGCUUGUUCCCUUCAAUACAAUGUCUUCCGUUGAUUGCAAAAAGUACCAACUCACAUUUUUUGCAAAGAUUACACCAAAGAACCUUGCCCUCUGUUUGUAUCAGCAGAAGAAGUGUUUGGGGAUAUUUCUAAUUCAAACGGGGAAAGCAAGCCACCUGCAGAUUCUCUGGCAAUUCCUUGUGAAGCAGAGAGCAUGAGAAACAAUGUCUUCAUCAGCCUCUGGUUUUUCUCAAGCAUCAAAUAAUGUGCCCAGAGCUGGAGGCUCUGGGGGUGGCAGUGCUAGAAAAUAUUCCUUGGGAUAUAUGUGGGGAAGUACCAACGAAAGCCACAAAUGGAACAAGAAAAGGAUUAUCACCAUGACAAGGGAGAGAUUUGAAACGCAGAAGACAAUCUCCAUGGUCUAUAUAAAGUUUUGGAUGGAGAACAUGUUUAAUCUCUUUGGCCUCGAAAUAAACAUGGUGGCCUUGCUCCUUGCCUCCUUUGCUUUGUUAAAUGCCAUUUCAAUGCUAUAUAUUGCACUUCUCGCUGCUUGCAUACUUCUAAAUUGCAAUGUCAUUCAGAAAUUAUGGCCAGCAGCACACUAUCUGCCAAUUCACAAAAAGCAAGGCUGAGUCUGUAUUUCCUUUCGAAUUUCAUGAUUCUCCUGCCAGUUUGAAUGCUGAAAGUCUUCAUGUGAUGAAUUCAGCUGACCACUCAUUUGAGUUUUCCCAUUGUGAGAUCACUAAGGCUGAGAAGGAUGGUGGAGGUUCUUUAUAUGAUUCAGAUAAGAAAGAGAGAGCCAGAGGUCAAGCUGAGGUUAACUCUGUAGUUUCUGCUCUGCAGCUUUUAGGAGAUGGCGGUUAGUUCUCUUGUAACCUUCCCGAAAAUCAAGCCAGAAGACAUGGAUGCCAGGGGCAUACUCAAGCAGUCUCCCCUGCACCCGAUCAACGGCCAGGAUCACCUGACGAAGCAGCAGAAGUUCGCGAGAUCGAAGCUCCGGGUCUCCAUCAACCUGCCGGACAACGAAAUCUCCCUCCUCCGCAGCCGGCGGAACCUGAGCUUCAGCGGAUCGUCCGCCGCCGCCGAACCUCGGACUUCUCCUUCUCCAUCUCCCCACUCGUCGUCCUCGGCCUCGGCGCCGAUCGGUCGAAUCUUCAAAGGGAAGGCUCCGGCGACGGCGAGGGGGAGCCUCGAGAACGGCGGUAGUGGCGGCGACCCCCACGGCGGCCGGCAGGCGUACAGGAGCACGAGGACGGUGGUAGAGGUGCUGCGGGAGCUGGACGCGGCCAUAGUGGCGCUGCAGGACGUGAAGGCGGAGGAGGAGAGGGAGAUGAGGUCGCUGUCGGAGCUGGCGGCGGCGCUGGGGAUGAGCUACGCGUUCGCUGAGAGCUGGGCGCCGGAGUACGGCAACGCCGUCCUCUCCCGGUGGCCGAUCAAGCACUGGAAGGUCCAGAAGAUAUUCGACGACACCGAUUUCAGGUCCGUCAUUUCGUUUUAUUUUAUUUAUUUAUUUAUUUGCAUAUAUUUUCGUAAUUAUGGUGACAUGAUAUGCUCUCUUUCUCGCUGAGCAAGUGGUCUUCCUGGGCGAUUUCGAAUUUUAAAAGAUAUUUUCAUUUAUUUAUUGAGGGUCCACUGUUGAAAGUGAAGUUAAAAUAAUAUGUCAUAAUUAAUAUUCCCUCUGGGCAUAUUAUAUCAUUUUUUCUUACAUUCUUCUAAGUGAAAAAGAUUAAUUUUGGUAGAACCAUCUAUAACGGUGCAAAUCCACUUCGGACAAUCAAAAUUUUCGUUGAAAUUAAGGUAGGGUGGAUGUAAUAAAAAUUUGCAAGACCAAAAAAAAAAAAAGAAAAAAAAAAGCUGUUGUUUAUCCAUCAGAAUUUGCGGAUGAAGAUGAAAAUCUUGCUGUUACUUGGUUUAUAUUUUGUCUUUUUUUUUUCCUUCCCCUUUGUUUAAUUGUUCUAUUUGGAAUUAUCUGAAUGGAGUUGUCCAAGAAUUGAUUUGGGAAGAAUUUAGAAUAUUAUUCACGAGAACCCUACCACCAAAAAUUCAAGAAUUCCCCAAAGCUUUUCUCCUCCAGCCUGUUUGCCUUUGCACAACUUACGGAAAGCUAUCUGCAACAACAAUGGUGGGCCUUUCCAAGGAUCCCAGCGCCAGCUGUGAGCAAUGCCAGUCAGAAUUAAAAUAUAAAUAAAUUUUAAAAAAAAACCUUUUUUUUUCUUUCUAUGAUUUUAGAUAUGGGUUCUCCAGAGAAUUGUCAUUUAAUAAUAAUAAUAAUAAUAAUAAUAAUAUCUUUAGUUAUAACUAUUCGAAAUUCGUGCGAGUGUGUGUGAUGAAAGACUGUCUUGGACUUCUUCCAUUCCUCCUUUUUUCAUUUCUGGUUGCAUUUAGUGGGUUGAUGAGAGUCAGCGUUGAAGAUCAUUCUGUAUUAAUUGCUGAUAUAGUCAAGAGAAUGCUUAGGAACCUGCUAAAUUAUCUAUAUAUAUAUAUAUAUAUAUAUAUAUAUAUAUAUAUAUCUCUUUAGUAUUUAAAUGAGGAGAUAAACGAAGGAUAAGAUCGUACAUUAAAUGAGGGCAGGGUAAGGUGUAUGUAGAUAGGACAAGUAACGUGGGGAGGAUUUUGCUUUUGCUUUAUUUUAUGUAUUUGCCAAAUUAGAUGCUUGACCUGAAGACUAUACAAGGACUCCUCAUCUUCAAGGAAAACUACAUUUCUCUCCAGCGAGACAGGCCAGAUAGAAUCAACUUGUCUGAGAUAGCAUGCAAUUGCUUGUCAUGGAGUCAAUUUCUGAGACUUUGGCGUUCGAUUAAUUAAGCCACUCCUUAGGUAGUGAAGGGGUUAUGUGCUUUCGUUGCACGAAAAUUCAGAAAAAGAAGAAAAGAGUGGAUUGAAAUAUAAUCGAUCGACAUAUUAAAUUGACUAAGAAUCGAAGUGGCUGUGAACUCGAUAUGUUUUAUUACACAGGAAUGUUCUGAAGGCAACAAUAGAAGUGCCCCAUGUUGGGGAAGUGAACUUCCAGCGCACCCACCUGGAUCAUCUCGACGAGAACUGGCGGAUGAAGCAAGUCGGCGCCAUCAUCCACUCGAGCGACUCUCCCCACAUCUUGGCUGGUGGCCUCAACUCUCUCGAUGACACCGAUUACUCGCAAGAGCGGUGGACCGACAUCGUCAAGGUAUGUACAUUUCUGUCAUGUUUGAUGUGAUAUUCGUUAGCACGUCAAACUCGAUUACUAAAUAGCUUAAGCUACGGCGAUUUUGUAAUCAUGGGCAGUGUUUGUUACAGUACUAUGAAGAGAUGGGAAAACCGACCCCGAAGGUUGAAGUCAUGAGGUUUCUAAAGAGCAAGCAGUACAUUGCUGGAGAAUGCGAGUCCGUGGUUGUCAUUGCCAAAGGACAAAGUAAGGACUCACUUGUUCGCUUUCCCAUCUUUCAAUUUUUCUUUUUCGCUCUAUCAAAUGGCUAAUCUAAGGUGCUUUUCGAGCACGAUGCUCCUCUUGCUUGAUGAUCACAUGAUUUGCUUGAAUGGACGGAAAUUCAUAACAUUUGAAGCAUGAUGAUCAUGUUGAAUAAAUACAUCCGUUGUUGUCAUCACUUUGUCGAUAUCAACUUUUGGUGUGAAAAUCCAUGGUAAAAUUGAAGUCCAAAGUCUUUUUUUCGAGUGAUUAUUGUCCGAAUAUGAAUUUGAAACUGUUUAUUCUAUUGCAGGUGUGCAAGGGACGUGCAAAUAUGGAACGAGGGUGGACUACCUACUGGCGUCACCAGAUUGUCCAUACAAGUUCAUUCCGGGGUCGUAUUUGGUCUUGUCAUCGAAAGGGACAUCGGAUCACCACAUCAUAAAGGUCAACGUAACGAAAUGCGAAAACAAUCCUCCCCCAUGAAAGCAAUGGCAACAACAAUAAAAUUACCAAGAAAAGGCGACGACAGUGCAAGCACCAGGCCGUUGUAAAGAUCUCAGGCACAGCUCCUCCUUCAAAGGGUAUAUGGACAACGAACACAUUAAGCAAAGUCGAAUGACAUUACAUUUAUAUCUCCCUUUUCUUUCCACUCUUUUCUCAGCUGCUGCUCCUGUUGCUACUGUUGAGUGAUCUUGGGCAUGCUGGCUUCGUCAAUCUGUGUGUAAAUCUUCGAUUGUUUUGUGCAUCUUGUCUUCUCUGUUUUUUUUCUUCAGUUUAGAGUUGAAGAGGGGAGGGUUCUGGUGUGAUGGCUUCCUCACAUCUGUAUAGAUUUCGACGCGACAGAAAUGAAUUCUUACGUUUCAACUAGGCAUUGGAGCUAAGCGGCUCUGCCAAGUUCUUUUUCAGUAUUUUAUGCCUUUUCUUUCCGCUUGUAAUCUUAACUGCAAGAUUCAGAUUAGUUUUGUCGAGGGCGACAUCUCAAGUUGACUUUGCUGAGAUUGAGGUUAGAGAAUGCGAUCUUGUAUCUUUACAUUUAACUGAAAGUUGAAACGUUUUAGAUUAAAAGUCCUUGGAAUAAAAUUGCAAAUUUCGAAAAUUGGAUUUUUUUUUUGUUAAGUUGGACAUCAAGUGAUUGAUAAAAGACCCAAAGAUUUCAAAUGAAAUACCUUUAAAAAGCAAAUAAGGAAAAAAAAAAAAAAGCUGCGAAGUCUGGUAAUUAUGAAUCCUAAACAUAUGUGACAGUAGUCAAUGUCUUCAUUCUUUUUUCUCCCUUUUGAAAUUAGCAUUGGAAAGAAGAAAAAUGGUAAGUUAGUGCAAUCUACUUCGAGAUCUUAACAAAUACCUUAUGUGAUCUCUAAAUGGAGCCUUAAUGAGCAUUAUAAGUAAAAGUGUAAUGAAAAGAGAAAGAAAUAAAUUUUCUAUAUAAUAGACAUUGUUGGCUGAUGUAUCAUGCUAAUUAGCUUAUGAAUAAAAAACCGCCUCUCCCUUAUAAUGGUUAGCAAACCGCGCCCCUUGCAUCAGCAUCGUAGAGGACUCAAGUAUCUCUCAAUUGGUGUAUACUCUUCAAUUGAUCCUCCUUGAUGUUAUUUAUAUCAAUUGACUUAUUAAUUUCGAUUUUGCUUGGGAUCUCAAUUUAGAAAGUCAUGGGAUCUAAAGCUCAGAUAAAAAGAGGAAUUAAAAAAAAAAAACACUAAAGACAUUGCGUCAAUAUCGUUGACCGGUAAGAAUCCUGGUACUUGCGACCUUGUAGGUCUGCUACUCGGGACCUCACUAAUAUAUGACAUUAAAAAUAAUUUUUUUUUUUUAAUGAGAUAGAAAGAUAGUUAAUUAUUAAUAUUUGAUACUUCUACCCUUUGUUUAAGGGCAAUGCUAGUAGGUCACAUGACACAUCCAAUGAUGUUUUCACUGCACAUGUCCAUUUUUUUUUCUAUAGUGAUAUAGUCAGUUAUUAAAAUGUUUUUUUUUUCCUUUUUGUUGCGAAUUUCCCCUUCUAUAAAUCACGAACACGAACACGAGCACAAAAUUUUUUCGUCGAAAUAAUUGAUCUAUUCAGCACAUGCUGAUACCUUUAAUUGUUUUCUAUAUCGUGAAUAAAUUAUUAAGUGAUGAUUGGACAAAUCAUUAAACAGAAAAAUCUCUUGACGAAAAGUAUCCUAGAUUAUCUCGCGCGUGUAUGCUGAAGAUCUAGAUAUACAUUAUUGUAUUUUAGGGUACAAGAUUGGCUCUCUUUGUCACUGAUUUUGUAAGUGUCCUAUUGCCUUUGGAUGGUAAUUCUUUUUGUAACUGUUCGACUUCGAAAUCGGCAAUGACCAGGAGUAACCAUCAUCGAUCAAGCCCUCUUAAGUGAACACUUAAAAAGAAUUAGUCUCUUAAUCACUUGAAUUGUGUUAAAUCAGAGGUAUUGUUUGUAGAUAUCAUGAAUAAUGGGAAAAUUUCCAAAAAGGUCCUAAAUCUAUUGCACUUUAGCCAAUUAAGUCAUAAAUCUUUUAAUUACGUCAAUUGAAUUCUAAAUCUUUUCACAUUUUGCCAACUGAGUUUAUUGGGCCAAUUUUAAGAAAAAAUCACCGAUGUGAAUGCCAGCCGUCUUACGUAAGAUGGUUGAUACUAAUGUUGGCAAAUUCUUAUAAUUUUUUUUAAAUGGAAUUUUUUAAUUCUUUUAAUUUUUUUUAAUUUUACCAUGGCUUGUGAGAGUCGUCGGGUCCUUGUAGCUACUAGCGAAGACUCAGUGACCCUUGCCAGACAUGGCGAAAAAAAGUAAAGGAGGAAAAUAGAAGAAAAGAAAAAAAUGGAAAAAUAAGAGAAAAAGGUCCAUAAAAAUUCAAAAAAAAAUGUUUAAAAUAUUUUAAAAAUUCUCCACAUUAGCGUUGCUUGUGCCACGUAACAUAACCGGUAUCCGCAUUAGCGAUUUCCUAACAAAAUUGAUCAGAUGAACUCAACUGACAAAAUGUGAAAAUGUUUAAAAUUCAACUGGCAUGACUAAAAGAUUAAUUACUGAAUUUGUAAAAGUACAAUGAGUUUUUUCUGGUAAUUUUCCCAUGACUAACUAGCAUCUCUCUUCCAUCCUGAUUCUGAUCAUAGUUUAAACAUGAUAUCAUAAACAAACCACUAAGAAGGUUAGUUAGUAACCUUUUUUUUUAUCGUUUGCCAAGCAUGUCGUUCCAUCAUCUUUCAAUAAAUUGUCAAGUGGCAUUUGUAGAGAAAAGUUUUCAUCUCGGCUCACUGGCAAACUGAAAAUUGUAAUGGUCAUGAGUAAACGGUCAGGAUGAUAACGAUAUUUAAAAGUACUUGUGUAGUUCUUCGCCUGUUAGUAUGCUAAACUUGGAAAAUGUCGAAUCAACAUCAAUUUAACACUGUCUUUACUCGAAUAGCUACAGAACUAUGUAAGAAAACACAAAGAACAAGAAGAGAAUCCCGAAGCUCUAGACAUGGCAUGACCAUGAAAACUCCACCGAGAGCUGGUUUUUGUCCUCAGAGUAGAUGUGAAAAUGUUGCAGAAUUAAAGAAUAAGCAAAGAUUCUUCGUAUCUAGCACUGUAAGCUUGCUCGAUAUAGAGUGAAACAAAGGGACAUUGCAUAGAGUUUGCACCUAUAUGAAGUUCACGAUGGCCGGGAGCAAUCCGUGCCACAUGACCUCAACUUAAGUGCAUCGCCGUAUCAAUAAUCAGUUCUUCCACAAGUAGAAUCGAUACGCAAUUUAUGCUCGAAUUGUCCUCUAUUCACCUUUCACUUGGGGAUGGUUUUCCAU
rnacentral:lncRNA from 1 species